UAACUAUGCUAUAGCCAAUGUUUUGAUCCUUCUCUUGAACUUGAGUACCUUACUCAAUGUUCUUGCUUGCCCUUAUUGUCCUUACCCAAGCCCUAAACCACCUUCACACCACCCUCCUAUUGUUAAGCCACCAGUUCACAAACCACCAAAGCAUUCUCCUACUCCUAAACCACCAGUUCAUAAACCACCAAGAUAUCCUCCUAAACCAUCACCUUGUCCACCCCCAUCAUCAACACCAAAACCACCUCAUCAUCCCAAACCCCCAGCAGUACACCCACCACAUGUUCCAAAACCACAUCCACCUUAUGUUCCAAAACCACCAAUUGUUAAACCUCCAAUAGUACAUCCACCUUACGUACCAAAACCCCCAGUUGUGAAACCACCACCAUAUGUCCCUAAACCACCUGUUGUGAGACCACCCUAUGUUCCUAAACCACCAGUUGUACCUGUAACACCACCUUAUGUUCCUAAGCCACCAAUUGUUUUCCCACCACAUGUUCCUCUACCUCCAGUUGUACCAUCACCACCACCUUAUGUACCAACACCUCCAAUUGUGAAACCACCAAUUGUUUUUCCACCACAUGUUCCUCUACCUCCAGUUGUGCCUGUAACACCACCUUAUGUGCAACCACCACCUAUUGUAACUCCACCAACACCAACACCUCCAAUUGUGACACCACCAACACCACCUAGUGAAACACCUUGUCCUCCACCACCACUUGUACCUUAUCCACCACCACCAGCACAACAAACAUGUUCCAUUGAUGCUUUGAAGUUGGGUGCAUGUGUUGAUGUGCUUGGUGGACUCAUACAUAUUGGUAUAGGUGGAAGUGCUAAACAAACAUGUUGUCCAUUGCUUCAAGGACUUGUUGAUUUGGAUGCUGCUAUAUGUCUUUGCACCACUAUUAGACUUAAACUUCUUAAUAUCAAUCUUGUUAUCCCCCUUGCUCUUCAGGUUCUCAUUGAUUGUGGCAAAACUCCACCAGAAGGGUUUAAGUGCCCAGCUUCUUAAUCAUAUAUGCACAAAGCUAGUACAUUUAUAUUUUGAAGGUAACUAUUUAAUUCAACUUUAUAUACUUUUCUUUUAGUAAAAUUUGUGUACAUGCAAUUUUAUUAUUUAGAUUAGAUUCAAAUAUAUUUUUAGUAUUUACAAGUAUACUGUUUUUUUGCCAUUUAUUGGUCUUCGUAAUUUUUCUUUUGUUUUUAGUCUUUGCAAUAUGAAUAAGGACUAAAAUAAAUAUUGUAUAGAUCAAUUCCAACAUAACAACUUUGCAGGGAAUGUAAUAAAACACCAAUGAUCAAAAGUAAAAAGUAGUAUAUUUAUAGGGAAUAAAAACAAAAAUUUCAUAUAUUUGGAUGGACUAACUAAAAACGAAAAAUUGGUAUAUUUAUGUCAUUAGUUGUGUUCGGAACUUUUCUAUUGCUAAAAUCAUAUUAAUAAAAUUUGUUUACAUUCAAUUUCAUUGAUUAAGAUUUUAUACUAUGUGAUUGUGACCUAGAUGUGUUAAUGUUUACAGGAAUUCCAUGAAUAUUAGUUAGCUCGGAAUAAGCGUUUACAAGUUGAAAGAGAUGUAGUGAAAAAAUUGUCAUUGUUUCUCGUUCAAGUUGGUGUAGGGAUACCAGAAAUGAAGGACAAGAACGUAGUAGAAUUGUACUUUGAUGGAAAUUAUGUAACUGGAAGAAGACCAAAAAAAUAUUCUGCACUUCACGUAGUAGUCGUCGUCAUGCAUUAAUAUGACAUAAACUUUCAAUUUAAUUAUUUUCUGUUUCUAUCUUUUUGUCACUUUCUUUCAUUGCGUAUGAUGCUGUGUGUGUAUGUCAGCGUUUGUAAGUUCAACCCGUGAGUGCUUUGGGGAAAUGUAUAAUAAGUUCUUUUUAUAUUUUCUUCAAAAUGCUUGAUUCUCAUCUAACACAUUUCUUCGUAUUAUCCGGAAUAUUGUCCUUUAAAAGAAAAUUACAAACAAAAAUCUUGAAAGAAAGAAUAAACAGUGUGAUAAUAUUUCUCCUUAUGAUGAUUAGUAAAUGCUUGUUUAGCAUAACGGUCUCAGUCAAAUUGGAGGACCCGCUCGAAUAUUAAAAAUAAAACCCUAAUAAAAAAAUUAGUGCUAAUUUAAACAAUUAAAAAUUAACAACAAACUUUUUUUUUAUUUGAAUUUGUUCUACUGAUUUUUUUGUUGGUGGGAUGUGUGAGUCGGGUCUAACUUAUAUAAUAUUUUCUCUUUUAUUUUUAUCAAAUAAUAAGAGUUUGGUUUAACCUAUCUUCUAUUAUAAUAAAAUAAAAUUUUACUAUAUAUCUUCCACAUAACUUUUUGCUCAUGUUGUUUAGUAUUGUGAAUUAGAGACAAAACUUCUCUUUAAUGAUUUUGUUUGGAGAGCAUAUCUGCUAGUUUUCGCCGAUUUUCCCUAAUUUGCGCCAAACGUACGUGCAUGUUUUUUAAUAUUCUUGCUAAUUACACAUAUCGCCAAAACUAUUUCCUUAAAAUUAGGAUAAAGUUUUUUUUGAAGAACAGUAGCACUGUCAAAAAAAAAAUGUCUAAAACAGUACAUUAUAGAGUACUAUACCUAAAUUUCCCCCCUCAUAAAAAAUUGGUCUAUAUUAGUGUGCAAAGUGUACACUAUGCAUUUCAAUUUUGAAUUUUCAAAAAAUGGACUAUAUGAAUUUCACAAAACUUCCGUUUUAAUUAAUAAAUAUUGCUCUUAGGAUAUUCAUUAGUAUUUUUCUAUAUUAAAUUCAUAUAUAAUAUGUCAUGUAAAUAUGUCCCCCUAAACACAAUUGACGCGGAAUUGAACCCACAAUUUCACACUUUAAGUUAGAGGUACUUACAUCCAAAAAAAUCCAAAAUAAAACCGUAAAUCAAUUCAAAAAAACAAAAAAUUGUGCCAAACCAAAUUUUAUUGGAUGUCUUAAUUAGGAUGUACUUUUAUAACAACCGUUUUGAUCGGAUUGAAUUUUGAACUCAUUUUUCAAAACAGACCACAUACAUAAAUAUUAAUACUUAUUUAUUUUUAAUUGGUAUAAUAUAUUGCAUUAAUCCAUUAUUUGUAAAUUUCUUAUUUUCUUUUAAUAAUACUUAUGAGUUAAAUUUAAUUUGUUUGUUUUUAUUAUUUCAUGGGGUUAAUAGUGUUUUACCCCAUGUAAUAUAAGUCAUUUCCAGUUUACCUCCUGUGAUUUUUUCUUAGAUUCCAUCCUUGUAAUUUGAAGAUUUUUUAUUUUAGACCUUCAUGAAUUUUGACUAUAAAAUCGAUGACAUGGUAGAAGGUAAAUCGAAAUUUGCUCAAAUUACAAGGGGCGAAAGUACCUUAAAUUUUGUAAUUGAUGUCAAAGAAUGUCCAAAAUCAAAGAAUCUUCAAAUUAUAAGGACAUAAUCUAAAAAUAUAUAUAUAGGGGUAAUCCAGAAAUGACUUAUAUUAUAGGGGUGAAACAUUAUUAACCCUAUUUCAUAUCUUUCAAACAUAAUCGAUUAUUAUCAUCCAUGAUUGUUAAAUUUUAAUAUAUUAUAGGCUAUAUUUUGCAUCAAACUUAUUAUUUUACCGUAUCUUUAUAGCAUCAAUAGAUUUUUUUCACAAAACUGUUAUUUAAAAAACCUUCCGCUUUGUUUUUUUUUAGUCUUUUUCGCGAGUGUUUUGUACGUUUUCCAUAUACUCAACGAAAAUAAUAAUUGUCAUUUAAAAAAAAAAAAAAAAACCAAAUACCAUAAAAUUGAAACGGAUCUCAUCAUCUUUUUUAGAAAUCAUCUAAAUCGAACUAUGAGUAUUUUAAUUUUUUGAUUAAAAGAUAUUUUGUUGGAUCAUACUAACUAUAUUGGUUUUAUUAACUAGUGUUCUAAGACACUAAUUAACAUUUCUCUUUUUACUUCAUAAAUGAUUCAAACUUUAACGUGAACGCAUCUACUUCAAAUCACUUUGUGUGUACGACUAACAAAUGAAGUUCAUAUAUAAUAUGAUUUCUCAGAGCAUAAAUCUCUAUUUUGCAUUCAUGUGUAUAUAAAUUAAUUCUUAAUGUCUAACUAUUAUUUUUUAUUAAAGUCGAACUACUUUUUUUUUUUCUAAACAAUGUCUCUAACUAUCUUAAAAAUUAAUAAUUUCUCUUUCAGUAUUUGACCCUUUCCUUGAUCAAAAAGAAUUUGACCCUUUCCUUGAUAAAAAUAAAAUAAAAUAAAUUGACCCUUUCACAUACUAUUGUUUAUAAUGCGUAUGGAAUAAUUGACACGACACAUUAACUAAGCGUACUUACUCCACUAGUGCAAUAUUAAAAUUACAGUCUGAAAAAGAAAAAAAAUCAUGUACCAAUUUCGACCAAUAAAUUUAAUGAUGAAAUUAAUCCCUACAUAUGAAAAAAAAUAAAAUUUGAAGAAGCUAAACUAACCCCCUCAAAUCGGUGCAAGAGAGAAUCGAACCUGAGACUUUAAGGAGGAACACACUCCCAGAUCCCAAAUCAAUAUCACUAAAUCAACCCAAGUGGGUUCAUAUGAAAAAAUAUUUGUUGAAAGAGAAAGGUCAUUUAAUUGAAUCUUCGUACUUUAAAAAUUCCUAAUAUCUAGCUUUUGACUAUAAGAUACUUUUGGCAACCAAAUAAUUUGAUCCCAUAGAUUUCAUGCUGCCUUUGUUUUUAACAUUAAUUUUCGAAAAUCAGAUGUUUCUCUCUCCCCCUCUCUCUUUUGUGAGCCGUCGGCCGAAACUCUAAUUUCUUCUCUUUCAUCCACCAAAGAGGGAUGAUUUAGGGUCAAUUUUUGACCCUGAAUCACCCCUCUAAAUCGUUUUUCUCCUUCCCUUCUAUUUAAGUAAGUGAUUUUCACAUCGAAUUAGGUUUUCCUUUUGUGAUUUCGUCGUCUUAGUGCGACGUUGUUUGUCUUUUCCAUGGUUCAGGUGUUUGCUCGAUUCAGAUUGUCAGAUCAGUUUCGAUCCAGUGCAGAUCCAACCAAUAACUUUGGCGUCAUCAACGUUGCAGAUCCGGAGGCAUAGCUAUUCCGAAGAUUUUAAUAUAGUCAUAUUUGUAGGCUUAUGUACUUUGCCGUUUUAUGCUAUAUAUUAACAUGGAUGUUGUGAGUUUUUUCACAAAUUCAUCCUUUUUGUUUUUAGUGAAUUUGUAUUGCAUCGAUGUACUCUGUCAAUUUGAAUGAAUGAAUGUGUCCUUUGUUUUGUGUAAAAAAACAUUAAUUUUCGAGAAGAGUUGCGCAAGUUACGAAAUUGAGUGUCACGUCAAUAAAUGAUGUUCGGUUGAUGUAAAUUUUGGAGAAAAUCGGGGAGGAAGGCCACCAAAUUAAAGAAGAGAUGAAAACAUAAGAGUGUGUUUGUUUCAAGGAAAGAAAUUACAUUCCUUGGAAUGACAUUCAUGGGAACAAAUUUUCAAAAUUUGAAACAAGCACGGGAAUGUUGCAUUUCCAAUCUCACAUUCCCGGGAAUCAUAUUACAACCCUUGAAACAAACACACUAUAAGAUGCCGAAAUCGCUCAAGGAAGAAUGGAAGGUCAUGAAAUCGCACAAUCGUGAUACUUAAAGGUCAAAUAUGCAGUUAAACCUAUAAUUUUUCUCUCUAAAUUUAUUUAAUUGAUUAUAUUUUUAAGAAAAUAAUACUACAAAAUAAGUGUCAAGUGUUGCCUAAUUAAUGAAGAAUUUUGUAUCAAAAUAAAAAAUACUCGAUAAAGGAUUUGAUCUUUUGAACUAUACGUUGAUAAAAUAGUUGAUAGUUGGAUUUGGAAACAUGCUUCAGAAACUCAAACUACUUAGUUAAAUGAUUUGAUCAUAUUUUGACUCAAGAAGAGCCGGUCCAUGCACCUUUUACGUAGAUUAUUUAAAACAAUGCAAUGCCUCUUAAAGUGUCGUUUUUUGCGUGGAGAGUCUUCAAUAAGAAAAUUUCGAUAAAAGGCAAUUUGGGUCUUUGGUUAUGUAUAUGUUGUCCCAAUGCUUGACAAAACAUAUCCAAACAAUGUAAAACACUGUGAGCUUGCUCAAUAGAAACCUUCGCAAAAAGAAGAUUAUCAUCAACAAAAAGCAAAUGAGAGGUUUAAGGGAUAUGCAUUUUUUCUCUCUGUCACCAUGUCACCAUGUAAAACACUGUCACCAUGUCUAAUACCACUUAUGAGAACGAAAGUGUCAAUGUUCUCUCUGUUCGACAAUAUUUUGUAUGAGAGAGAAGAAAUACAAUGAUGAAUUACCUAAAUGAGCUUAGAAUGAAAUUGCACCCCUUUAAGCAUUUUUUCACAAAAUUCUAGUUUAGACGAUCAUAGGCUUUUUUCAGUUCAAUUUUAAUAGACAUAUACAGUGUGUUUGGUAGAGGUGAAAUUGCAGAGAGAGAGAGAGAUGCAAGCGAGAGAAAUAGGAUUGAGAUGCAGAAUCUUUUAGUGUACCAUCUCCCAACUACAAUGAUGUUAUGAUGGGUACUUCUUUCAAAAAUAAAAAUAAACUGAUAUGGAUAAACUAUCCCAUCAAAUAAAAGUUUAAUUCUAUUAACAUAAACUUUAGAAAUAACAUUAUACAAAACUUUGAGUCUAAAUUGAGAAAAAAUUAUUCAGGUUUAUCAAUUUUAUGUUUAUGUAUUAUACCAUACGCUAGUAAUACUAUCUUUUAUUAUGUUCACGCAUGUGUCUCAAGCAUAUGGGUAUAAUGUGUAAGCUAUGGGAAAAUGACUCAAGCAUGUGUCUCAAGCAUGGAAUAUAGUGUCAGUAGCAAAUAAAAAGGUUAUAAAGAACAAGAAACGAUCUAGACAUCAUACUAUCUUUUAUGUUCGUGUGGUUGGCUCUGAUUAAUCUAACAAGUAUGGGAUGCUUGACCUUGAUGCAAUAAUGUUUCUUUAAACACCGACGUAGUAGUAAUAAUAAUAAUAAUUUAAAAUAAUGUUUAUUUAUAAAAAAAGUAAUAAUAGUAUGUUUUUUUAUAACAAUGAGGGCCUAAGAUAAAAGAAGAAAGAGAUAACAACGAGAUUAUAGGUGGAGUAAAAUUCCCUAUCAAAUCAAAAAGCAACAAAGACUAAUAUUGUUAGGACGAACAUCAAAGGAACAGGUCCCUAAAUCCAUCGAACAAGCUAAAUUGUUUGCGCAUUGAUUUGCUUCAUGAUAAGAGUGAUAACAACAACUUCUCAAUCAAGUGAAAGGAAGCGAUGAAUCUUCUCAACUAGCUACCUCCUUCUCUAGCUAUCAUGCACAUGUGAAGUGAUAGCUUUUACAAUAACUAAGGAGUCAACAUGCAACUCAAUAAAUCAAAAUUGCAACCUUCUAACAUUACAUGACCCCUUCCAAUAAUGAUGUGUUGUUGCCUAUAAACAAUUUUCUACUUUGUAGAGCUUUAGUACGAUGUAAAAUGAGUCGAUGUUGUGAAAAAUAAGUAAGAAUUGACAUACAUAGUGAAAAUAAGCAAGAUUAUACAUUGUUUUGAUUUUUUUUUUUUAAGUUUUAAAUAAGCUUUACUACGUUAGUAUAUAAGACCAUCUUUAAAUGAGGAGUCUUGUUUUUAUUUUUUAUUUUUUUCCUUUUUAAAUUAAUGAGGAAUCUUAGAGUGUGUUUGGAUGGGGGAAUGUUUUAAGGGAAUGUAAUGUUUUGAAGGAAUUCAAAUACCUUGAGGUGAAUUUCAUUGUUUGGGUAAUAGUUUGAAGAAUUUUCAAAAUGAUGGAAAUUUAUGAAGUAUUUUGUUCAAGUUAAAUGUAGAGAAUUUCAAAUGACACCUAAAAGUUAAGAAUUUCAAAAAUCUUCAUUGUCAUAUUUUUUCAAAUUUUACAUUUUGGUCCUCAAACUUUCCAAAAUUUUCAAUUUGACCCCAAUAAAUUUAUAAAAAUUGCAAAUUGACCCCUCAAAUUUUCCAAAAAUUAUAAUUUGGCCCCUCAAAAAAUUUGAAAUUUACUAAUUGACCUCUAAUUUCAUUUUUCAAAUUUGGCCCAAAAAAAUUGAAAUUUAUAAAAGUUGCCCAAAAAUGAUGACAAUAAAUUUUUUUUAUUACUCCAUCCAAACAAUAAUAUUUAAGAAUGAAAGCAAUUUAAUUGAAUCAUUUGAAUUACCUAGAAUUCUAAAUUCUUCAAAAUUUCUCAAAUACUCCAUCCAAACACACUCUUAGAGAAUCUAUAAUGAAUAACUCUGAAAAUGAAUUUUUAAGUGUGAUUUAUGUGUACACAUUACACAUUUGUAAUUUUUAAAUAUCAAUUUCUGAUAACCAUUGAACCCUUCCAUUAACUUCAUCCAUAUUCUCCUAGCCAUUAUGUAUAAUUGGCCCUCUAACAAGUACUUGUUUGUACUGUAUUCCAAAAAAUGAUGUUGAUGAGAGACUUACUAAGUAAUGUUUGACAUAGUCGAGUAUUAUUAUAAAAUAUUGAUAAAGUCAAGGACAUUUAUAAGCGCGACUCGUAGAGUUAGAGACCAACUUGAUCAUUUAACUAGCCAUGUUAAAGCUAUUAAUAGUGUCAUCAAACAGUGUUGAUCAAAGGAAUUAACUUAAUAUAACGUUUGAUAAAGUUAGAGACUAUUUUAAAAUAGGAUUUUUCUAUCAUGUGAAAAUUUGCACAUAUUAAGAAGUUUAAAAUAGUAAAGUUGUAUCGGAACUUGUGUUUUUUAUAUUAACUAUAAAACUUUUUAAUAAAUAAUUGUUCUUUUUCAAUGUAAAGUUACUAUUUUUAGUUCCUUUAACAUAUGCAAUAUUGUACAUGUUAGACAAACCCUUUAAAAUAUUAAUAAAAUCAUAGGCUUCUUUUUUCUUUUUUUUUUUAGAGAUCCAAUCUAUGUCUACUUUAGUUGGAUAUCUUUAUCAAAAGUUAUUAGAUACCCAUGGCAAAAAAAAAAUUAUAAACAUUGUAAAAUGUUUACCCAUGAACAAUCACCACUAUUUGGAUAAAAAAAAAAAAAAAAACUUAAGUUUUACACAUCAUUUUUUGCUGAAACUUUUUCACUUUCUUAACUUUGGGGACCAAGGCUACGGUAGGUGACCUCCUUAGGUCUCCUACUAUAGAAGACUUGUUUUUUUUUUUUUUAAACGAGAUUUUUAAAAAAAAAAAUAGGAGGAAGUUUUUGAAUGGUUGGGAUUUCAGGUAAUGUGAUUCACUAGAAUUCUAUUUUUUAAAUAUAUAGAAUGAUUUAAAAAUUCAAUUGAUUUUGGAAUCACAUUUAACAAAGGGUGUUUUUGACAUUGUUGGAAAAAUUAUAUGACCCAACAUGCCAAUUUUUUUUCUUCUAAGGUCUAAAAACAAUAUUCAGUAUAUUUAUUGGGACUAAAAAUUUAUUCAACCUUUCUAUCUAUUGACCAUUGAACUAAUAACAUUUGGAUUGCAUGGAAUGAACACAAUGGUAAAUUAUUUACAAAUUUAGAAAAUACCAUUCCACAGUUAUUAGAAAAAGUAAAAUAUUUAUUGUUAUGGUGGCUUAAAGUUAAUAAGGUCAAUUUUGUUUAUGGCUCGUGGUUGAACCCGUUUAGGUGCUUGGAUAUCGACUCACCUUUUAGUGUAUUCAUGGAUUGACAGCUUGUAAUUAUUUUUGGUUUCAUUUAUGCUAAGGAGAUUACACUGUCAUUGUUAAUAUAAUUUUUUUUUUGUAUCAAUACAAUUUAUUUUUUAUUGUUAAAAAAACUAAUAAUAUUCAGUUAUUUAAAAAAAAAAACUCACAUAUCUAUAGUAAAAACCUUAAUAUAUUUUCAACUACCUCUCAUUAUAUAAAGUCAUUAUAUUAAUGUCUUACUGUUGAACGAGUUGGAAAAUAUUGAAUAUAUUGUCUAUAAACUCUAGGUGGAAAAAUAAUACUCCAUCCGUCCCAAAUUGUAUGUCGCUUUAGGGAAAAAAAAUUGUCCAAAAUUGUAUGUCGCUUUACAAUACCAAUACAACUUUAAUGUUAUUUUUCCUAUUAUAACCUUAACUAUUUAUUAGUCUCUUAUUUCAAUUCUUUCAUUUAUUUUUCCCAUAUUAUUUAUUAAGGACAAUUUUGUAAAACAACUCAUAAUAUAUAUUUUCCACACAAUAUUAAUUGCAUUUCUUGAUAUGUGUGAAAUGCCAAAAACGUCAUACAAUUUGGGACGGAGGGAGUAUUUUAUUUAAGAAGGAAAUUUCAAAAUUGACUCAAGAAUUAUUUAAGAGUUGUGUUAUUUGAACAUCCAUUUAUAUGACAACUUUUGAGACAACCAAUAUUUUACAAAGAAAAUGAGGUAUUGACACAAAAACAAAAACAAUAGAGAGAUAAAGUAAAAAAUUAAUGUAAACAUGAGAGAGAAAAUUGUCAUAAAAAUUAUCAAAAAAUGGUUGUUCAAAUAUUAUUUCUCAUGACUCCCGAAAAAAAAUGCAACACUGGUCACCAUUCUGCCAACCACCUACAAACACAUGUCAAUAUAGUUGUUAAAAAAUAAAAACCCUUUUAUAUGAUCUCCUACGGUAGGAGACCUAUACCCCUCUCCUACAGUAAACGCCACCAACUUUGGGAACCAAACUUAGCCUAAACGUACGCCACCAAAAAUUGCACAGUGACACAAUUAGGGGUGUACAAAACUCAGUUUAUUUUGUCUCCUAGGCUAUGGGUCAUGUCUGACUCUAACCAAUAAAAAGAUAAAAAUAAAAAGGAGUCCAAAGAAUUUGUCCUGGUGGCCGGAAGCAGGGGCGAAUGCUUGUACAGGAGAGGGGUAGCUAUGGCCACCCCAAAAAAAUAAAUUUUAUUGAGUUAGUAGGUAUAUUUUUAUGUUUAGCUACCCCUAAUAAUAUAUAUUUGGCUACCCCAAGUUCGAUUUUAGGUGCAAUAACUUUUUAUAACUUUGGUUACUUUCGGGUGGUCACCUCAUAAAAUUAUUGCUAGCUUCGCCGCUGGCCGGAAGGAUGGACCGAGUCUAGGUUGACAUGCGGAUCACCCAUUUUACCCAUUAGUUUGUGAGGACAUGAACUUUUUUAUUACUUGCAACUCGUCUCACCUUCUCUUCCCUACUCGAGUUACACAUUUGUCGAUAUAUCUUCACUUCCCUACUCGAGUUACACAUUUGCCGAUAUUUUCUUUUGUUUGUUUGACAAAACAUUUGCCGAUAUAUGUUGUUUCAUACGGUUUGACUCUAACCAAUAAUUAGAUUUAUGAGAAAUGAUAAUUUAACAAUCAAAAAGUUGUCCCACACCAUAUAUUGAUACGGUUUUAUGUACAAACUUAAUUUUUUACUAUUUCUUACAAUCUUGAAAUCUGUGCAUGCUUAGAAUUGCUUGAUGGAAUCUAUACGGUGGUGGAAGCAAGGUUGUAGAUUUUUGGUUGUUAAUAUAUCAUUGAUCUAGAUUUAUUGGAUGCGACUUACAUAGUUACAUUAUACAAUAUAUGUUAUAUUCUCGUAUCAUUGAAACUUUGAAAGUAGUUUAUAUUUCAAAAUAUUGGAGUUGCAUUGAACCUCAUGUAUAAGACUGGAGUAGUUUUGACAAAUAAAUUUGUAAAAAGAUUAUGUCAACAUUAUUAUAUUUGUAAAUAUGCUUUACUAUUUGGUGACUUGGGAGACUAACUCGGUCUAAUCCUGCAUGGAUCCGUAUCAAAUUUUAUCUGGUCAAUGAUCGAGUUCAAUUUAAUCUGGUAACUGACAUAAAGAAGAAUCUUGAGGUCUGAAUACGCGUAGCAUUAGCGUCAAGCAACAACUAACUUGAUAGCAUGUUUGGUGAUUUGAAACCUGUCUUGCACUUCUCACGUCAAGGACCACUUGAACUUUAUUUUACGGACAAUAUAUUGCACAUGUUUUCGGCUUUUGGGCCCAUGGGCUUAUUCUCAUCUCAUGCCUUCGGUUGAAAUUUGGGAUCUAACUCAUACUCAUAAAACCGGCUUAUAAGGUGAGGAUUACCUCCUCUUUAUAUACUCUUCUCAACUCACGCCCAGCACUCUUUGGGCUUGGUGCGUGAAUAGGUUUAGGCGGCCCUUGAAUUCGACAAGCUCUGAUACCAUGUUGAAAUUUUGGGCCUAACUCAUCCUUACAAAACCGGUUUGUAAGGUGAGGAUUACCUCCUCUUUAUAUACUCUUCUCAAGAGUCUUGUCUAUCUGAUGUGGGACUUGGGUUUUUCCCAAUACCUUCAUAAAGAAAAUUGUUCUUCUUUCUUUUAAAAUUGUUCAUUCUAUUAUUCGGUGGGAGUUAACUCACGCUCGAUAUUUUUUCAGCGGAAGUUAACUAACGCAAACACUUUUAAGAUCGGUUGAAUCGACUUAAAAAAUGAUUGAAUCGAUCUUAAAAAUGUUAAAGUGAGUUAACUUCCGUUAAAAAAUGUCGAGCGUAAGUUAACUUACGUUAAAUUAAGAUAAUGUACAAUUUUAAAAGUAAGAAGAAUAAUCUUCUCUCGUAAAUUGCACACAGAACAAAACUUCACCGCUCCUAUAUCCAUAUUCCAUCUUUUUCAUAUCUUUAUUUCUUAUGAAUAAUUCUAACACAAUCCUGAAAACAUACUCUAAACUUACUCUAUUUUAUUGGUUGGAUUCAUUUAGGUCUCAACAAAUUAUGUAGGUUCAUACAAAUUCUAACCAAUAAAAAAAAUUUAUUAGAAAGUACUAUGUUGUUAAUGAUCCUAAGCUUCUUUUUUUUUUCUUUUUGUAUUUUUGUUAUCAUCAUUGAGGAAUAGAUCAUGCUCCAAAACGUCUUGUGAAUAUAAAUCACUUGGUAGGAUAAUGCAUUAUUAUAUGCAGGGGCUGGAGUUCGAAUCCCGAACACCUCACUUAUUCAUCUUAUAAGAUGAAUUCUAACCACUAAACUACCUGACAAAAGAAAGAAAAAAAAAGAACAUGCUGCAAAACCCAAUUAAAUCCAACGGGUCAGUUUGACUCAUUCAAUUUAUCAAAAUGUUUAAUUGUUACUCCAAUGUGACACAUCUAUUUAAAACCUUGAGUGGCACCAGUUAUGAUUUCACUGUCUUUAGAUCCUACCUCCAGGUUCCAAUGGAAUUAAUACAAAAACGUUGAACCAUCCAUAGGAAGAGUAGGUGUAACGAUGGAUUGGGAUUAAUUAAAGAAAAUUCUAACCCGAAGAUGGGCUCAUCAUCUGUACGUACUGCCUAACUUGGUCACAAUUUCUCAAUUCUCUCUCUCUUUUGCGGUUGGAAUUCGUCUACAGUACUUACAUUGUUGAUAUAAUUUUUUAAUCUCAGUUCCUAUGAAGUAGGAACACUCUUUAGAUUAGAUGUAUUUCGUUGUCGUUGCGGCGUCAGUAUCCAACAGUAACAGAACAUAAUGUCGUUGUCGUCGCGGCAUAAUUUCGUUGUCGUUGCGGCAUCAGUGUCCAACACUGACAGGACAUAACAUCUAAAAUUACACCGAAUGAUGUCCUUCUCUCAAGUUAUUAUUCAUGUAUGCGUGUGUCUAUGUCUGUAUCGUGUCUGAUAUCUUUGUUAGCAUCCAUACUUUGAUUGCACCGUUGUAAAUGGGUCAAAUUGUACGAUUUAUUCGUACAAAUGAUCAACAUUACUUAAAUUAGGUUAUCUCUUUUAGUGAACAAAGUAAUUGAAGUUGCCCUACAAGAUCUGAAACCUGUAGCUAGCAUUUGUAUUGUUCAUUAAUGCAAAUCCAUCAUGUUAAAUUUCUCUGCAAAAAUCUCGAGAAUGGGACCCACCAUCCUCACGCUACUCUGUCAGUCACAAUGCAUGAGCAAUGAACUCCCUUGGAAUUGCUUUCAUAACCGACACACACCAUCAAUAGUAAACCCUUCAUUUCUUUUGUUAGAUUGAACUCUGAGAACUGAGAUCACAAGAGUCAAUGCAGGUGUUAAGACUCAACCAGUGUUAACUAUUCAUCCAUUAAGGAGAUCUCCGAUUUUAUAGAUGAGUUAACUUUUUAUUAACACAGCUCCGGAAACUUUUCAACAAAUAAUACUACAAAAGUCCAAAAACUAAUCCCAAAGUUCCCAAAACAUCUGUACUGUACUGUCAUUUUUCCAAAAGUUUUCUCAUCACUUCUGCUUCCAAACACACUCACGAAUGGCAACCUUUGUGGCUCUUCUUCUUCUACAAGUUCUACUUUUCACACCCCCUUAUGCUAAUUCUCAAAAAAUGAACCCCUUAGAUCUCAAAGCUCUUCUUUCCAUAAAAAACACUCUCACCUCAAUCUCACCCACAAACUCCUUCUUCUCAACAUGGAACUUCACCUCCCCAAAUCCCUGCACCACUUUCUCCGGCAUCACCUGCACCUUCAACCGAGUCACCAUUCUCUCACUCGGUAUCGACAGACACCCCCUCGCCGGCUCACUCCCCUCCUCCAUCUCCUCCCUCACCGAGUUAACCCAGCUCAUACUCUCCCCCGGAAUCGUAACUGGUUCCAUCCCACCUCAGCUCGCUCAACUCACCAACCUCCGUGUCAUCUCCCUCCCCAACAACCGCUUCACCGGCACCAUUCCCGCCACAUUCUCCUCUCUCACAAAUCUCCACACACUCGAUCUCAGUCACAACCAACUCGCCGGAACAAUCCCACCGUCGCUCACCGCGUUACCACAACUCCGAAUAUUAAUCCUCGCUUCGAACUCCCUCACCGGAACGUUACCGGAAAACGUUUUUUCACCGCUACUUCAUUUGGAUUUGAAAAACAACGUACUAACAGGAACGUUACCAACGUCAUUUCCGUUAUCUCUACGUUAUCUUUCGUUAUCACAGAAUCAAAUGUGGGGUCCACUUACCAACGGAACACUAGAGUCGCUUUCAGAUUUGGAGUUUCUUGACCUGAGCAUGAAUCAAUUUACUGGGCCUAUUCCAGCCCAGCUCUUCUUCAGGCCCAUGCUUUCUUCACUCUUCUUACAACGAAAUUAUCUUUCUGGUGGGCUUCCAUUAAAGCCUGAAGAUGGAGAACCGUUGGUUGGAUCAAACGGUCAAGGUUCGAUAGUUGAUCUAAGUCAUAACUUAAUCAGCGGAGAAUUAUCAACGGUGUUAGAUGGAGUUGAGAGUUUAUUUUUGAAUAAUAACCGUUUGAUGGGAAAGGUGCCUGAAGAGUAUGUCAAGAGCGUGUGUCGCGGUAGCACUCGAACACUCUAUCUUCAGCAUAACUACUUCACGGGGAUACCGUUGAAUGAAGGAAUCGUGCUGCCUGAUACGGUGUCCUUGUGCUUGUCGUAUAACUGCAUGGAACCUCCGGCGAAGCAAAUGACUUGUCCGGCGAAUGCCGGAGAAGAAUUGUCGAGGCCGGCAGCACAGUGCUCUGUGUUUAACAAUGAUGACAGUGGUUAAUUGGAUUAGACUUAGGCAAUUAAUAUGAAGGUUUGAGUAUAGCUUAAUUUUCAAUUUUUAUUUUAUUUUUACCAUUGAUAGUGUAAUAAGAUGUAUUUUAGUGUAGAGAAACGUUAUGUGAUCAAAUGUAUUAUUAAUAUUGUGAUGAAAUGAAAUGAAGCACUUCAAUUAUGUGUUAAUCUUGCUACUGUCGCAUUACAUUUCUAGACUUUUGUGUAAAAAUACGUAUAUCAUCAUAAUCAUAUUGAUUACAUAAUAUAGCAAGCAAUACAUAACGUAAAUAAAUGCAGCAACCACUUGAGGAAGGUCCUAUUCAAUCUGCUUCUUCUAUUUUGAUUCUGGUCUACCCUAAAUUUUAGUGUCAUUUAACUUUCUUCCUAUCUUUUCAGCAAAUUAUGGAUGCACUCUGUCUUGGACCUGACAAUCACAAAAGUUAUGUGUUAGCUCUACAAAUUUAGCUGAGGUUCUUUCUAUUCAUGUAAAUAGUGUUUUAAGUGCAUAUUUGAAUUUGCGGUGAGGUUGACAGAAUCACAAUGAGCAACCGGACCGUAAUUUUGCAAAAGCUAUAGAGUGUGGCUUUUACAAAAUUACUUUGCCUCACUAUGUAAUUUUGUCAAACCCACCGCCGUGAUAUCAAACAUAUAUAAAACAUCAUAGAACAAAAAAAAACUUAAAUGUGAUAAAGAAAAUAAGGUUUUAGUAAAAGUAUUGACAAAGAAAGAGCUCAAUUUUCACUUACCUCAGUUGGAAAAUCCCACAACCACAAACACAUUAUUAAGGAACCGAAAAUAAGUGUGCCUCCAAGCGCUGUUGAGGAAUAGAGGACCACAAAUACACCAGAAACCCACUGCAAAUCCAACACCCAACCCAAAGUAGAGUGAUUGUGUAAAAGAAUUCUCAUCAUUAUCAAUAUCAUUGUGUCCUCCAUGUAGGUAUGACCCAUGAUCACAUAUUGGUAGAGGAGCUCCACAAAGUCCAGGAUUCCCAACAUAGUAGGAAGCAUCAAAACUUUGAAGUUGAGUCCCAACUGGGAUUUGCCCAACAAGGUAAUUGUUUGACAGAUUCAAGAAACUCAAGAAGGACAAAGUUGAUGUGGUAACAGGAAUUCCUCCAACAAGUUUAUUGUCGGAUAGAUCAAGAGAUUCCAAGUUUUUCAUGUCUCCGAUGUCUCUUGGUAUCUUUCCUGUGAAAUGAUUUCGAGACAAGUUCAAUGACUUGAGUUGAACUAGAUUGAAAACUUGUGAGGGGAUUUCACCUGAUAAGUUGUUAGCUGAAAGGUCAAGAGUUCUCAACAGUCCAUAGUCAUAAUACUCUAAGUCUCGCCCUUUUGUAUACAAUUUGAACUCAAAUGGAUAAUGACUCGUUUUCUUUGCUCCACCCAUGCCAGUGAUGUUACUUAUGCAUUUGGGAAUAGACCCUGAAAGUUUAUUGUGGGAAAGAUCCAAUUGUAUCAGUGAUGAGAAAUUGCACAGUUGUGGUGGAAUGUUACCUUCAAACUGGUUUGAUCUCAAUAUCAUCACCUCCAUACUACGUGGCAUCUUCACUGGUACGGUUCCAGAGAAAUUGUUUUCUCCAAUAUUAAUGAAUUGCAAAUUUGUUAUGUUAGAUAGGUCCAAUGAAAAAUUACCAGACAAGCUGUUGUUAUGCAAAUCCAGUAUUAUGAGAUCGAUAAACAAGUCCAUGGAUGGAGGAACUUCACCAGUUAGCAUAUUACUUUCCAUGAAAAGGAAAGAUAAGCCUUUCCAAUACUCCCAACAAUCAGGAAUUUCUCCGGUUAAAAGAUUGAAUGAAAUGUCCAAAUAAUCCAAACUAUUUUCCCUACCUAAUCUGUGGCAGAACAUAGGGGAAAUGGUUCCAAAGAAAGAAUUGUGUGACAAAUCCAAAUAGAUGACAUUUGCUGAUAUAUGUGGGAGCCCUCCUCUGAAAUUAUUGUGGUCCAUAAAUAGAAGUUCCGAGUUUAGCGUGACAUUUGAUAAGUCUGCACUCAUGCUGUUGUUAGACAAGUUAAGGUGUGUAAUAUUAGUUACAAAUCUCCAAAAUAUGUCUCCAUCUAUGGAUGAAACUCUAGAGUUAGGAAUCUCAAGAUAUUCUAGUGACCUUUGUGUAUAUAUCCAUGUUGGAAACUUAGGACCUAGAAUUGUAUUGCUUAAACUUAUCCCGUUCAAUUGAAAUGGAGGAAUCCAUUUAGAAUCCAUAUCAAAUGAAAUCGGUGCACUCAAGACCAAUGUUUCUAAACUAGAGAGAUUGGAAAAAUGUAUUUCAGAUAGAACACCUGACAAGGAACUUCCUCCAAUGACCAAACUCUUCAAAUUAAAGAGUUUUCCAAUGCUGGUUGGAAUAUUACCGGUCAGAAAAUCGGAGCUAACACUUAAGUCAACCAAGGAAGAGAGUUUUCCAAGAGAUGAAGGGAUAGAACCGCGAAACAUGUUCUCAGCUAGACCAAGGUAUUUUAAAUUUUCAUGUUGCCCUAACCAAUCAGGAAUAGAUUCAUUUAGUUCAUUGUUACUCAACCUUAAAGUUUCAAGUUUUCGAAGACUUAACAAGCUCUUUGGUAUUUGUCCUUUUAAAAAAUUGAAGCUAAGGUCAAUAUGGGAGAUAUUCAUAUCGUUGCCGUGUUCAAACAACCAAGCAGGUAAUUCAGAAUCGAAAUGGUUUGCUGAGAGAUCAAGAGUUGCAAGUGAAUUAGUAAAACUCACAUGCUUAACGGAUGCAAAGAUAUCGGUCAAAUGACAACUUGAUAAUCUCAGUUCUAACAAUGAUACAUGCAACAUAUCUAUGGACUGAAGCCAGUUUGUUUGGUUUUGAAGAUUAAUUUGACUAAGGUUUAGAGAUUUGAGUGAAGAAAAUUUGGAAAGCCAAUGAAGAUUAUCCAAGUGAAGAUCAUCGUUAAAGGAUAAGUCUAGGUACUGAAUAUUAGACAAAUUAUUAUUAUUAUGAUCAUUUGAUUGGUUGAAACUACUUAGAGUUGUAAAGCCAUUCAAGCUUAAGUCUAAGUAGGUCAAAAAUUCAAUUUGAAACAAAGACUGCAAGUUGAUUUCACCUUCCAAGUAUUGUUGGUGUAGAUCAAGUGUUGUAACUCUACCUGUGAUGUUGUCACAUUGAACUCCUUUCCAUGAACAACAAUUUUUUUCAUUAAUGGACCAAGAGGAAAGCUUGUUGGAGGAAUGAUUCUCCACACCAAGUUUGAAGAGCAGCAAUGCAGAACGAUCCUUCUCAUUGCAGUUACUAAUCCCAAGUUGUGUAUUGCUACUAUUGCACCUUUCAAAUAUUGUUGUAGAUAGCAAUAAUAGCAGUAGCCAAACAAUGGGAAUCUGUGAAGUGAAGCCUAACAUGGUUGAUAUUAUUUAGUUUGAAGUGUUACAAAUUUGUGUGGGUGGUGGUGAUGGGUUUUAAAGGGUUAAGUUUGUUGGUGGUGUUUCACUAUCACAACUCUAUCUAUUUCCUAUUUCCACAACCAUGUGGACGUAGCACUACUUAAAAAUAAGAAAUAUUCAACAUUGGUUCGUGCGUUGAUUAUUCUCCAAUAAAAAGAUAGGUCAAUUCAUUGGGAGGGGAUUGUCUCCUAUGAAAGUUUCAUCCAAUGAAAUCUCCUCCACUCAUUUUUAUUUUUUUGCAAUAUGUAAUUUAAAUUAUUUAAAAAAAAAAUUAAGGGUAGGGAUCAGCGUCAGUGAAUUUCAAAUGGGAGAGGAUUCGUGCCUCAAUUCAUUUGGGUAAAAGAGAUUGAGUAACAGCUAACUUUUAAAAAUAAGAGGGUUAAUUUUUUGUCCAAAAUCACCUAGAUCACUUUUUCCUAUUCUUUUGUUUGAAUAACUUAUUUUCACGUGUAUUUACUUUUAUUUUGUCAUCUUAAUUAAUGUUCAUUUGAUUUGUUUGCCGUCUUGGUGCAAUAUUGUUUUGUUUUUCCUUCUCGUUGCCGUGUUUGUUCGGUUCAGAACAAUAUAUAUAUAUAUAUAUAGAGGAGGGAUAUUUUGACUCCAAGAGUAAGUCUCUAAACUUACUCCAAAUCUUUGCCCUUAAUUCUUUUUAAUCUAACGGUUUUAAAAUUUAUUUAACAUGAACCCCUUUUCGGUUUUCUUCCACUAAACACAGUAUUUCAAUUCUUGAAUUUGUUUCAACUUUUUAUCACAAAACAAUUUUCAGAUCUUUUUAUCGCACAGUAUAUGCAUGACUAAUUCAAAUUAUUAAUUCAAUUGCCAACAAUAAUUAUCCACAAGCAUCUCACCUCUUCAAUUGGUACAUAUGGAUAGCCUAAGAAUUUUGUGUUCAUCCAAAGAGAAGAAGAAUGAAUCUAAAUGAAAAUUGACGAAAUAAAUACGUUUUGGGAUUUAUCCAAGUUUAAAAAACCACUCUUAAAGAAUAAAAAAUGGAGACAGUAUACAUAUGACUAUGAUUUGAAAUCAAAUUUUCAAAUCAUGAAACGGAGAAGGUUUAUAUCUAUGAUGAUGAUCAUGAGUUUAAUGUUGUCUGCCGUUUUGUCAUGACAAGCUUUUGCAGCGUUAAGCGUUUUGCCGUUUUCCAGUGCAGAAAAGAAUUAAACCUCACCCUAACAAUUACUAUUAUUCAAUCCUAACCAUUAAUUGAUAUUGAGAUUAAGGAUCAAGAUUUGGAGUAAGUUUAGAGACUUACUCUUGAAGUCAAAAUAUCUCUCCUCAUAUAUAUAUAUAUAUAUAUAUAUAUAUAUAUAUAUAUAUAUAUAUAUAUAUAUUAACUUUGUUUCAAUGCAACUUCAAUCAAUGAUUUUAAUGUCUUAAAUAUUACAAAUCUGAAUACAUGAGUAUUUCAGACAAUUUAAGUUCUUCAUAAUUGUAGACAUUUUACUAUUGUAUGUUAAUAGUAUAUAUGUUGUGAGUUUUUCGCGAAUUCAAUCCGUAUUUUAACGAUUUAGAAUUUGUGUUGUUUGAUGUAUUUCUAUUAAAAAAUUAAUAUAAAUUGAACUUAAAUUUUGUUAACAAUAUUCGGCUAAUAAUAUGGCAAAUCCCAUAACUGUUUACAAAUUGAACCGUGUACCACUAGUAUUCAUAAAAAAACAGCAGCAUUAAGCUAAAAAUAUGGAAAAUCCAAUUAUCACCCCAACCAUAAUUCUUGCAAAGUAACCCAUGUUUUGUAGCUCCAGCUGGCGGACCCUGGCAAAUGAUUACCGUUGGAGUUGCUCUAACAAAUUUUAAGUUUGGAUAUCACACCUAAUAAAUGUAUUUUAAAUUAAGAGUCUGCUUAUUUUAACUUUUUAAAAAAGAAAUUUAAAAGUGUAUCAUUUUUUUCUAUAAUUUUUUUAACAAAGAAUAUGUAAAGAAAGCUUUUAAUGAGAAAAUGGUUUAAGUUUAACCAACUUGUCGUAAAAAGUCCAUUGAAGUAUUUAAUAGUUUUCCAAUGACUUUUUCUAACUUUGAAAGUUGCUUGACUCCUUUGAUUCGCUGUGCAAGUGACAUAAUGUCGAUAUGUCUAUCAAAGAGUUCAUUUCUACACUUACUACUUUACUAGUACCCCUAACUUAGAAGACACGUUUUAUUAUAGUUGGGCACCCCCGUUACAAAAUUUCUAUGAAGUAUGAAGGCAGAUCUUGUCCAUGCAAAGUGAAAACAUUGUCAUUGAAUCAACUCCUUAUUCCACGUUGACUGCUUCAAUUCCUUUCGAAGUUGGGUGAAAUAUUACAUCAUCUUGCCUUGUUAGAAACAUUUAUGUUGAAGAGAAUUUUUCUCUCAUCCUACUAACUUCUCACACGUUUUUUAAUUGAUCAUUUUCGGAUUAUAAUCAGAACCGUGUUUAAUAAGCUUUUUCAUUAUAAUAACAAAAAUUAUUAAAUGAAAUAAAUAAAAAUGAUAAAACUUAAAAACAAAUAAUAUAAAUGGACAGAAUUCAACACAUUUUUUUACCAAUAAUUCAUAAUAUAUUACAGAAGAAGGUUUAACUCACGAUUUUCACACAUGGCAGCAUCCGUAAUCUGGUACAUAAUAUCAAUAUGGACCGUCCCUUCAAAAAAAAAAAAAUCAAUAUGGACCGAUUUGUUAUCCCAUAAUUCCAAUAAUAAUAAUAAUAGCAACCAAUUAAACCCAAUAAUUAGUGGGACGAAUAAAUUAGUAACAAAUGGGACAAAUUAAACCAGCCAAUGGAAGAAAUGUCGACGUUCCAGAUUUAUGGGCUUGGUUUCGUUUGAAAGAAAGUCGUAGACUUCCAAUUUUAGAGGCAAGUAGGAGAAAGAAGCAUAUCAACAAGUUGAAUAUAAACCAUAAAGUUAACAACCUUAGCUCAAGGGGAGUUGAGUGCAUUUUCUAAACUGGACGGGGUGUGAGUGUCUUUUAAUGAAACUUUAGGAGAGAUUUGUGUAAUUUUCCCGAUUAAUAAUGGAGAUUUAACCUCACAAAUAUUAAGUUGAGAAGACAUCUGUCAUAAUUUCUAAAAAGCACAUAAAUUGAGGGGGCCUAAAAAGAAAUGUUCAAAUUACAAAGGCUCUUUUCUUGGGCCGCUUGGCCCAUAUGAAAUCAACCCAAACCCAAUCCAAAUCCCAUUUCAGAUUCUCACUUUCUUCCUUCUUGUUCUAUCUCACCCAAAGCUACAAAAUCAUCAUUCGCUUUGCGUUGAGUUCAAUUUCGAUCGAUCUAUCUAUCUCUCUGCUCCUUCUAUCCAUUUCUAUUCAUUGCCAAAACCCUACGGUAAAUCUCUCUCUCUCAAAUUACUCAUGUAGCUAUGAUAGAGAUUAAACGACGCCAUACCUGGAUCUCUCUUUUUUUUUUUCUUUUUUUUUUUUUCUUGCUAAUUUUUGUUUUACUUACAUUUUUUUGUUCUUACUUUACUGAUGUGAUUAAUACACCGUAAUUUGGUUUACCUAGUGUUUAAUUUUUUUCCUUAGCUGAUUUGUUUUGUUUUGUUCUUAUUUCAUUUAUGCUUCAUGAUUAAUGGAUCUGAUUUAAAACCUUUGGUUUUGUACUUUGAUGGUUUUGUUUGCAUGCAAUUAGUCAAAUUAGUUCAUGAAAUUGCAAUGUCCUUCGUAUUAGACUUUUAGAAAAGAAAAUUAUGAUAAAGGUUUUUGGAUUUAGUUUUUGAAUGUGCAUUUAAUGGUUGAGUUAGUGCCUGCGGUAUCGACAAAAUUAGACUUUAAACUUAGAUUUGGUUGUUAGGAAAUAAUGUUAAUGAUUCCGUAUAUUGUCAUUAAAACCGGUGCUGUCAGUUUGUUUGAACCUGUUUGACCGUGAACUGAGAUCCGGUCUUAGUUUGGUCACAUGUUUGAAUUUUUUAUGUUAUCACGUCAUACCCUGUGGUUAAACCCAAACCAGAUAGAACUGGCUCCAAAGAUCCCGCUGAGUGAAAAUAUGAACAUUCUGUGGUUUUGUCUUGCGGAGCUCCUUGUACAAAAGUUCAUCCGUAGUCAAACAAUGUAACACACAAAAGCCUAGUUGUACACAUACUUAGGAGAAGGAGAAAGUUUGUUGUGGGAAGGAGAUGCAGAAGGAAAAAAAAGAUAUGGAGAAAGACAUUGUGGUAUGUUUGAUGUGUGUGGCGGCUAUUGUAUGCAGAAGACGACAAAGAUAUUUUGCGGUUAUGUUUAUGUGGGCUUUUUGUACUUGACCACUUUACUACACUUUAAUUUCGAGAAUAUAUUCACUUGGCCACUUCACUACACUUUAAUUUUGAUAAUAUAUUCUAUACUGAGUCAUGUUUCACCAAAAUAAAUAUAUACCGAGUCUUGCAAUUUAACUAGUAAGCCGCCGGUUUGACCAAUGACCCAUUUACGCAGUAUCCUAACCAAAAGUAGACGGCAUCUCCGAGUUUAAGACCAUUGAUCCGUAUUUUUAGAUUCUAAUUUCAUGAUUUGUUUAUUUUAAUAAAAUCAUCUUUAGCAUUUAUUGUCGACUUUUACUCUUAUGGAGAUUUGUUAUUGAAUUUGUUGCUGUUCGUGUUAUAUGCAUGUGUGUUGUUUCUUUCGUUAGACAGUCGUAUUAAUCCUUAAAACUCUAAACCCUACAACAUUGUUCAUAUCGGUUCACGAAUAACACGAAAUAUGCUAAAUUUCCCUGAAUGAAAUUUUGUCUGUGUAUUAAGUUUUCAUGAUAUCAAAUGUGAAGACUAACUUGACUGAAAUAAUAUACAAUAAGGGACUUUGUGGACUAAUAUGACCAACAGGCAACAGUAUAUAUAUUUCAAGGGCUAAUUUGAUUAUUUACUCAUCUUAGUUUAAUAUUGUUUAAAAACUGCUAUGGCAUCUGAUGUUAAUAUUUUUGCUCCUAUCUAGAUUUGAUAUCACUGUUGGAAUUAGCUUUGAUUCACGGAAAACUUCUCAGCAUCUGCAGUUGUCUUGCGUUCAAGGAAAUGGAGUUACCAACUCUGAGAAAACCUUUCAUCUACUGGGUUUUCUUUUCUUUCACUGUGUUUGCUCAAGUUAGCAAUGGGUUUUAUCUUCCGGGAAGCUACAUGCACACUUAUUCCAAUGGAGAAUAUAUUAAUGCCAAAGUCAAUUCGUUGACAUCUAUUGAAACCGAGCUUCCCUUCAGUUACUACAGCCUCCCUUACUGCCAACCCCCUGGUGGAAUAAAGAAAAGUGCUGAGAAUCUUGGAGAACUUCUUAUGGGUGAUCAGAUUGAUAAUUCACCCUACCGAUUUCGAAUGAAUAAAAAUGAGACUCUCUACCUCUGUACAACAGCACCAUUAAAUGAGCACGAGGUAAAGCUACUCAAACAAAGAACUCGUGAUCUGUAUCAAGUGAAUAUGAUCCUUGACAACUUGCCAGUUAUGAGGUAUACUAGCCAAAAUGGGGUUAAAAUCCAGUGGACGGGGUACCCUGUUGGGUACACUCCAUCUGAUGGCGGUGCAGAUUACAUCAUUAACCACCUGAAAUUCACUGUAUUGGUUCAUGAAUAUGAAGGUAGAGGGGUCGAAAUUAUUGGGACUGGGGAGGAAGGUUUGGGCAUUAUUUCUGAAGCUGACAAGAAGAAGGCAUCUGGGUAUGAAAUAGUUGGUUUUCAUGUUGUCCCAUGUAGUAUUAAAUAUGACCCCGAAGCCAUGGCAAAGCACAAAAUGUAUGAUAGUAUCUCUUCUGUAAGCUGCCCAAAUGAGCUCGACAAAUACCAGGUAAUAAAAGAGCAAGAGAGGAUAUCAUUCACAUAUGAUGUUGAAUUUGUGAAAAGUGAUAUAAGAUGGCCAUCACGUUGGGAUGCUUAUUUGAAGAUGGAGGGUUCUCGAGUUCAUUGGUUCUCAAUCCUAAAUUCACUGAUGGUUAUUAUUUUCCUUGCUGGCAUUGUUUUUGUCAUUUUCUUAAGAACUGUAAGAAGGGAUUUGACAAGGUAUGAGGAAUUGGACAAAGAGGCACAAGCUCAGAUGAACGAGGAGCUUUCUGGGUGGAAACUUGUUGUAGGUGAUGUAUUUAGGGAGCCUGAAUGCUCAAAGCUUCUGUGUGUAAUGGUUGGAGAUGGGGUUCAAAUUCUUGGAAUGGCAGGUGUUACUAUUGUUUUUGCAGCACUUGGUUUCAUGUCUCCAGCAUCCCGAGGGAUGCUACUAACUGGGAUGAUCAUUUUAUAUCUUAUCCUUGGAAUUGCCGCUGGCUAUGUCAGCGUACGUCUAUGGAGGAUCAUUAAGGGAACAUCAGAAGGGUGGAGAUCAGUUUCUUGGUCUGCUGCAUGUUUUUUUCCUGGCAUUGCUUUUGUUAUCCUUACAGUACUCAAUUUUAUUCUAUGGAACAGCAACAGUACUGGUGCUAUACCUAUUUCCUUGUAUUUUGAGCUGUUCUUCCUCUGGUUCUGUAUUUCAGUACCUCUGACCCUCAUUGGCGGAUUUAUGGGGACAAAAGGAGAGCCAAUCGAAUAUCCUGUAAGGACCAAUCAGAUUCCAAGGGAAAUUCCUGCAAGGAAAUAUCCAUCUUGGCUUCUUGUUCUUGGUGCUGGAACUCUUCCAUUUGGAACCCUCUUCAUUGAGCUUUUCUUUAUCCUCUCUAGCAUCUGGCUCGGGAGGUUCUAUUACGUGUUUGGUUUCCUGUUGGUUGUUCUUCUAUUGCUGAUUGUUGUUUGUGCCGAGGUGUCGGUGGUGCUUACAUAUAUGCAUCUGUGUGUGGAAGAUUGGCGGUGGUGGUGGAAGGCAUUCUAUGCUUCCGGUUCUGUUGCUCUUUAUGUAUUCUUGUACUCCAUUAACUACUUGGUUUUCGACCUGCAGAGUUUGAGUGGACCUGUGUCAGCUACCCUUUACCUUGGCUAUUCACUACUCAUGGCAAUUGCAAUCAUGUUGUCAACUGGCACCAUUGGCUUCCUUAUGUCAUUCUACUUUGUGCACUACUUGUUCUCAUCAGUGAAGAUAGACUGAGGUUCUGGCUGUAUCUCUUAUUACCCAUGUAAAAGAUCAAUCAAUUGAUAUAACUUCUACCGAGUUCUUUUUGUAGCUUGAUUGCAUUGCAGAAUAGGGUGGAGGCUGAUGCUUUAGUGAUUGCCUUAAACAAUCAUCAAUCAAUUUUAUAAUGCAAUGCGGUCUGCAGUUCGUCUCUGAACAUAGUCAUUCAAGGACUAGUGUUUGAGCUCAUCAUGUUUCAAGUACUCUAGUUUAUCUAAGUUUCUUUAGGAAGUUGUAAUUUAGUCUGUGUUACAUUUCGUUUCAAUAUAUAGAAAAUUGUUAGAUGGAUAAUCAGCUUUCAAUGUGAUGUUCAUUAUGUUUGUGGGUGUUUUUAUAUCUUCUAUUCGUUCAAGGAUAGGGAGGAAGACCAAGUAUUAUACUUAUGAUGAUUUAUUCUUAUUUUAUCUAUACCUAUUGUCCACAAGCCACAAUUUUGGCUUGUAUUGUACUUAUAAUAUUAUUUUUUUUGCGAAAUUAUUUUAUAACUUGAUGCUUGUAGAUUUUAGUUGAUAAUACUCUAGAUAUGGAAAAAUGAAAAUAUUGAAUAGGAGCCUUGGCACAAUAUUUGGAUGCCUCUGUGAGGUCACACUCACGGGUUAAUGUAAGGGUACCUACUACAAUAGAUUCACAUUUCCCUUGAUCCCUACUGUGGUGGAGCUCUGUAUGUUGCACUUUAUAUGGGAAAAUAUUAAAUUCUAGAAGAAUAUAGUUAGUAUUCCUAUGGCACUCUGUUUUACAUCUUGUGUGUGUGUGUGUGUGUUUUAAUAGCAUAAUCUAUUUAAUGCAUAUAUGUGAGUUUGUGUUUUCUUUAGUUUUCACUUUUCAUAUAAUUAGUUGCAUUAGUGAUGCAGUUUUUAAUAUCAAGCUGCAGAUAUUGUUAACGAUUAAUUGAUUAUGCUGAAGGAUUUCUCAAGCAAUUUAGCAAACGUUUGUCUAUAUCAGAUACAUCUGUCAAAAUUGAGUUUACCUUGUGUCCCUCCCAAAGGCUACACUCAGUGGUAGAGCAAUUUGUUUUUUUUUUUUUUGUGACAUUUUUAUGUGUAUUAGAAUGUGUGUCGUUAACAUUUCUUAGAAAUGUUUAAUGAUGUAAACAGACAAUUAUGGUAUGACACAGGAUCAGUUUCUUCCGAACCUCAAUAGUCAAUACUUUGUUGUCACAGUAAACUUUUAUAAACUUAAGUUUAUAAAAUAAAGUUGAAUCAAAUUGACGUUUGCGAAUUUUAAACCCAAACAUGCACUAAAAAUUUCUGAUAAGAGCAUAUAUAUGUUUCCAACGCCAAACCUCUAUUUACGAAAAAGAUAAAACAAAGACAACCAAAAGUUUGUUAUGACCUCAUGUUAUUCCGAAAAUAAAUGAUAUUUGUACCACUUUUUGACAACUUUUGAAACAACAUUCUCUCUCAUAUUCACAUAUAUUUUUAUUCUCUCUUCUUCUUUCUUUCUCCGUUGUUUUUGUCCAAUAACAAGAGCAGAAAAGUGAUGAUCACCAAAAUUAUCUAAUAUUAGUUGUACAAAUAUCAUUCCUCUAUUCUGAAAGAUCCAAUGUUACCAAAAAUGUAUCCUAAUUCUUGGUAGGAAGUUAAGGUUAUGAAAACAACAAUAAUUUAUAUAGAAAAAUACACAUGAUAGGAAUUAUUAUUUGACCGUACAUACAAUACAAUAGAAAUGUUAAGAAUACUCUUCUUAAUAUUCUUUAUUUUUGACACAAUUAAUACUCUUUAUUUAUAAUUGAUUCAUCAUGAAAUGUCAAUAUAUUUUUUUAAAUAUGACUUUGUAGGGUAAUAAUAUCAAUCUUUUUUUUUUUGACCAAAUAAUAUCAAUCUUUUAAAAAUAAGAUUUAUGUGCAUUGAAAUGAGAUAUGCAUGUUCAUUGUUUUGUAAAGGCAGAAUUUCAACGAUCCUCCUUCACCCAUCCGGGUUUUGUAAUCUAAUAAUCUAUAUAAUUUAAGGAAGACAAAAAAGAACGGUCCAAAUUGCAAAUCAUAAACCAAACAUACCUCUACUCUCUAGCGGACAAAUAUUGCUUUGAUACUUUCACGUGAUCCCAUUGCAAUUUGCAGAACCCUUUCCUCUAGCCUUAAAGAAUAUCCACUUAAUUAGUAGUAUAUCUUUCGUGUCACUUUCUCCCAGCGAAAGUUGUUUUUCUACAGAUGAUAAAUUAAAUAAUACACAAGUCUUUACAAUUUUAAACACAAAAAAAGAUUCAUUUUUCUGCAAGGGGGAAGUGACAGGAAAAAUAUUGCAGAAGAUUUAGCCAUAGUCGAUAUCUUAUAGCUUUUAUUUUAUUUUAUUAUUGGUCUAGUAGAUAAUACAAUACUCAAAUAAACAUAAAAAGGGGAGUGUGGUGAAUCGAGAUUGAACCUGAAAUCCUACGUAAAAUAUCAUCACAUUCAAAUAACUAGGUUGAAACUAUGCUAAAAUAUAAGUAUUGAACAUAACAAUAUAAUAUUAGGUAAAACAACACAAAAUAAAUUUUUAUAGUAUCGAACAAUUUUUGUUGUUUUAUACAAUAUUUCCUCCGUCUUAUAAUAUAAGUAAAAAAAAAUUCAUUUUCUUUGUCCCGAAAUAUAAGCAAAAAAGACAAACUUUUAUCCUAUUUAAUCUUGUUUUUCUAAAAAAAUCUCUUUUUCAAGAAUUAUUUUGUUUAUUCUCAUAAAAUUAAAUGCAAAUUACAUUCAAUUUUAUCGCUCUUUUUCAUUUUUUCUAUAACCAAUAGCCAAUGAAAAUUGUGUUUACAUCUUCCUAUAAAACUUUUUCCAAAGAAAACACAAAAAAUUAUACUUCAAAUUCUUAUGUUUUAGUUUUUUUAAUAAGUAUCAUUUUUUUUUCAUUUCUUAUAAUUUGGGGCGGAGGGAGUAUUGGUGGGCAAAAUACUAUUUCUGUAUUUUGGACAACUUAUACGUAAGACAAAAAAUUGUGUUAUGGUUUAAUGAGAGACAUGAAUUUCAAUUCUUAUCAUGUCCCUUGCACCCUCGAGUUGUUGUCUCGUCACUCAAUCAUUUUUACAAUCAAACUCAGUACAAUUAGAGUUGUUCUAUCCUUUAGUUUUUAGCAUAUUAAACACAUCCUACAAACUUAUAUCAUUUAUUUAUUUUUUGAACAAGCUUAUAUCAUUUAAGUUUAGGAAAAUAUUUGUGCAUUCUAGACAUUGAAACAACAAAAAUUAAUUUUUUCUACAUAAAAUUAAUCAUUUAUUUUUAUUUUUAAUGUGUUCUGCCUUAAGGACACUCGCUAGCACAACCCUUUGUAGCUUAUCAAUUUCCUUCUCAAAUUUACCAUUGCCAUCUUUAUUAAUCAAAAGAAAUUAAAAUAUUAAUUAAAUCUAUCCUUUUUACCUCAUUUUAUAUUUAUUAGUAAUUAAGAUUUUUUUUAUGCUUAAUUACACUUUUGGUCUCCGCAUUUUGACCAACUCACGAAAAUGGUCCUGCCUCUUUCAAAUCAAACAAACCCGUCCCUAAACUAUAUGUUUUUUUUUGCAGUUUUAGUCCUACCUCUUAUUUUCAACUCCAGAAACGCAGAGAAAUGACCGUUUUAGACCUACCCCCUAUGCUCAGCCAUGAAAUAAAGAAGGAAUAAAGCAUGUGGGUACAAUGAAUCCACUUUAUUCAACACACUAACCAAAAAAUCCUAAUUUCUAAGAUAUGUUUCAAAUUAGGGUUUUUUUAGAUAGAGUAGAUUCUUUGUAUCCACAUGCUUUAUUCCUUGUUUAUUUCAUGGUUGAGCAUAGGGGAUAAGUCUAAAACUGCCUAAAACUGCCAUUUCUCUACGUUUCUAGAGUUAAAAAAUAGAAGGUAAGACUAAAAAUGUAAAAAACAUGAUAGUUUAGGACGAUUUUGUUCGAUUUGAAAGAGGCGGGACCAUUUUCGUGAGCUGAUCAAAAUGCGAGGACCAAAAAUGUAAUUAAGCUUUUUUUUAUCAAAUAAACUAAUGGCUGGAGCUCACACAUUUUAAAUAUAAAGAAGUAGGGUGUUCAAAGUCCCUAUAUAUAACAUACAAUGUCCUUAAAAAAAAAAACAUACAAUGUCGCUACAAACUAAGCUAAACACACGGAUAAACCAACUAAUUUUUUUUUUUUCCUUUCUUAAACAACAUAAAUAAAUAAAUAAAGUGGUAUAUAUGGGGUAAAAAUCGAAUCAUGAAUGAUGAAUAUAUUAUAAAUAAAUAAUAAUAAAUAAACAUUGUACCAAAAAUAACAUAAGUAAGAGAUGAAUGUAGAGCCACACAUUGAUUUAUUUCUUUGUCUUUGCAUUGCAAUUGCAACAGAGUGAGUGAGAGAAUUCACACACACUCAGUACAGACCUCGAAGAGCCAUCUAUAUGGCUUCAAUGGCUUCGAUCGGUGUUCUCAAAGUACCUUCUUCUUCAUCCUCAUCUUCUUCUUCAUCAUCAUCCAAAGCCAUUGCACGCAACCUCUCAUUCACUUCAUCACAGCUCUGUGGUGAUAAGAUCACCACAGUUUCAACAAGAAGAAGCUAUGGAUGCAGCAAACCCUUCAUUGUUUCUCCUAAGGCUGUUUCUGAUUCCAAAAACUCUCAGACUUGUCUUGAUCCAGAUGCUAGCAGAGUUAGUUGACUUGUCUUUACUUUUGUUUUCCGACUUUGACUAUUUUUGGUUUGAGUGUAGUGAGAGAUAGAGAAAGUGGGGUAUGUUUGAAAUGAGAAAAAUCAAUCUUUUGUUUGUUUUCGCAAUGUUUUAGCAAUUGGGUAUGCAUAAUUGGAGUUUGUUGAUGAUGGGUUUUCUUGAAUAUUGUAAUGUGUUUUUGGGUUUCUUAAAUUAGAUCAGAUUGGAAAAAUGAUGAGUUUUUGACAUAAAAUUGAAAUUUUAAUUGAGUAAGAUGUUACGUGUUUGAUGGGUUGAGUUUCUUUAUUUGAGUUUUUGUAUGUGGUUGGUUCUGACUCAAUUUGUAUGCUUUUUUAAAUAUGUUUUGUUGAGUUUACCUCAUAUGAUUGAUAAUGUCAAGUCCAUGACAUUAUUUGCAUUAUCACACUAAUUUGAAAUGAUCCAAAUCUAUGAAGCACGGAUAAAGACACGGACAGUGACACGCCGACACCGAUAAUAAUUUGAGAAUAUAACAUAAUUCAAUGGAAUCAUAUGUGUCAUUGUCAUGUCGGUGUCGUACACGGACGCAUGUCCGACACGGGGACACACCUAAUCCAAGGAAUGUCCGUGCUUCAUAUUCAAAAUGCAAACUUGCCUGUUUCCUCAUUGUUUGUGCAAUUGAUUAAUGAUUGUGCAUAGUAGGAGUUUGUUGGUACUUGAUUCACACAAUAUUAUCAUGUGGCCUCUGGCUGCUAGAUUGGUGAAACUUGAUGCUAGACCAAUACAAAGCAAGAACUAUUACAUGGAAAAUGUUAACCCUGUAUUUUUAUUUAGGCAUAUUUGUUAGGAACUAUACUUGAAUUUGGCAGGGUCAGUUGUGAAUGUAAUGUAAUGAUUUUUAUGAUGGUUUUCAGAGUGUGCUUGGUAUUAUACUUGGAGGGGGUGCCGGGACGCGUCUUUAUCCAUUGACCAAGAAGCGGGCAAAACCAGCUGUUCCUCUUGGAGCAAACUAUAGGCUGAUUGAUAUCCCUGUCAGCAACUGCCUAAACAGUAACAUAUCAAAGAUCUACGUCCUCACACAAUUCAAUUCAGCAUCCUUGAAUAGGCACUUGUCCCGUGCAUAUGCGAGCAACAUGGGUGGUUACAAAAAUGAAGGUUUCGUUGAGGUUCUUGCUGCACAGCAGAGUCCUGAGAAUCCAAACUGGUUCCAGGUAAUAAGCAACCUUAUUUAUGUUUUCUAUUGUUACUGUUUAUUGCUAUGAUCACUUAUGGUAGUCUAGAACUAUCUUAUGAUUUUGAAUGCUUUCACUAUUACAGGGAACUGCAGAUGCGGUGAGGCAAUAUUUAUGGCUUUUCGAGGAGCACAAUGUUUUGGAAUACUUAGUUCUUGCUGGUGACCAUUUGUAUCGAAUGGAUUAUGAGAGAUUUAUACAAGCACACAGGGAAAGUGAUGCUGAUAUCACUGUUGCUGCAUUGCCAAUGGAUGAAGCACGUGCCACUGCAUUCGGUCUAAUGAAGAUUGAUGAAGAGGGGCGUAUAAUUGAAUUUGCCGAGAAGCCAAAAGGAGAACAGUUGAAAGCUAUGAAAGUGAGGCCAUAUAAUAUGCUCUAUUUUUAUGUUAUUAUUUGUUCUUUAGUUGUAACUGCUUAAAGAUUUCUGCUAUGACUUUUCUGUAUUAGGUUGAUACUACUAUUUUGGGUCUCGAUGACGAGAGAGCAAAGGAAAUGCCUUAUAUUGCUAGUAUGGGUAUAUAUGUUGUAAGCAAACAUGUGAUGCUAGAUCUGCUCCGCGACAAGUUUCCUGGUGCAAACGACUUUGGGAGUGAAGUUAUUCCUGGUGCAACUGAACUUGGGAUGAGAGUAAGAAUUCCUUCUAUCUGUUCAAUACAAAGAAAAUGUGUAUAGUUUUGCUAGAAAAGUUUUUCAGAUCUUUAGCAACUGUAUCAUUGACGUAUUUGUGAAUCUGCUUAGGUGCAAGCUUAUUUAUACGAUGGAUACUGGGAAGACAUCGGUACAAUUGAGGCUUUCUAUAAUGCAAAUCUGGGAAUCACCAAAAAGCCAGUACCGGAUUUUAGGUAAGUCAAUGUUUGGCCUUUUAUUUAUUCAUCCUACUGUCUGUUUUAUUUUAACCAUAAUAACAGUCAGCUUGUGUUUAAUGUUUGUUGGGACAUUGGUUGCAGUUUCUAUGAUCGUUCAUCUCCAAUCUACACCCAACCUCGGUAUUUGCCUCCAUCUAAGAUGCUUGAUGCUGAUAUCACCGAUAGUGUUAUUGGUGAAGGAUGUGUAAUUAAGGCAAGCUUUUCCAAAAAUUUCAUAUUUUUCCUUAGUCCAUUGUUACUAGUAUGGCACAAAUUUGUACAUUUCUUGGCAAAGAUAUCUAAAUGAAUGAGACUAGUUAAUUUUUUGAAAAACAACCUUAUUUUCAAUAUUUUGUUCCACAGAACUGCAAAAUUCAUCAUUCUGUGGUUGGGCUGCGAUCUUGCAUAUCAGAAGGUGCAAUUAUUGAGGACACAUUGUUAAUGGGGGCAGAUUAUUAUGAGGUAACAUUGCUAAAUAGCUGUCACAUUGUUAAGUUAAUAGGAAUUGACUUUAGUUUGACUAGAAGUGCUAACUUCAGUAUUGGUUUUCUGAUUGGUGUGCUGCAGACAGAUGCUGAUAGGAGGUUUUUGGCUGCUAAAGGCAGUGUUCCGAUUGGUAUUGGCAAGAAUUCUCAUAUCAAAAGGGCAAUUAUUGACAAGAAUGCUAGAAUUGGAGACGAUGUGAAGGUUAUAUACAGUCUCAUCAGAAUUUUUUUCUCAAUCAUAUUCUUUCUUUCCAGUCUAAACUGCACUGUUCUCUCUUUUUUCCCUAUCUUGCUCCACAUGCAUGCUGGAAGAGUGAGGGAGAUGGGGUUUACAAAACUAACUUUUUGAUAUUUAAUCAAGUUUACAUGGAAAAACAUUCACUCAUAACUUUCAUCUUGUUUCAAUUCUCAGAUCAUUAACAGUGACAAUGUGCAAGAAGCUGCAAGGGAAACCGAAGGUUAUUUCAUAAAAAGUGGGAUUGUCACAGUAAUCAAGGAUGCAUUGAUUCCAAGUGGAACUGUCAUCUAAAGUCCUCUCUAGUCUCAACUAUUUCCUCUUGCUGCUGUGCAACACCUCAUUUUCACUGCUGGAAGGUGUUACAAGAACAGCUCUGCUUCCGCGCUGGUUUUCUGGUGCACAUUAUAUUUGGCUCGAAAGUAUAUAGAGUAGAAGACUCUUUUGGUAGUCAUGAUGUAAAUUUAAUUAUUCGGUCAAAUAAAAGCUUCUUUAGUCUGCAAUGCAUGCUCUUUUGUAGUUUAUCAGAAGGGUGGAAUAAUAUUCACUUAAAACAAUGAAAAGGAAUACAAUAAAAGCGUUGGACACUAGCUUCUGCUGAUGUAAUUUGCUUCUUGUAGGUCUUUCAAGACCUUUUUCUUUUCUAUUUCAACUCAACUAAUAGAUAUUAAUUCACCUUUUGUAACUUUCUAAGACACUUGGCCAGUUAAUUUGUUAUGCAUACCUUUUGCUAAGUGGAGUGAGGGCAGAACAGAAAAUAUAAUUGAGCCAGAGAAUAGAUAUGUUAAUCAUAUUUCUUUAUCUUGAUUAUUGGAAUGCUCUCCAACGACGGAUGGAAUAUAAAUUGAAUUUUACGAACCCAGUUGAUAAAAUUUUGUUUAGGUCAGAGAAAGAAAACUAUUGAGAAAAUGACUUUGUUAUAGGGACACUGAUAAGUUGUUUGAUGCUUGAGUUUUCGUUAGUGUUACAAGUUUCAACAUCUUUUGAAACAUGCAACGAUUCCUAAAAUUCAGUUGUAGUCCCAUAUUCAAAAUGACGUGUUUUUAUUUUCCAAUUUUUUAUGUAUGCUGAUUUUCAUGAUCUCUGAAUAUUUCGUUAGAAUUCCCUUUGAUGUUUUUGCUUCAAGGGAAUGCACAUUCCCACAAAAUAAAGGAACACAAAUGACAUUUAAAAUCAGAGACAAUAACAAAAAUUUAAGACCCGAAAAACAUAUUUAAUCCAAAAAUUUACAUUAUCAAUGUGUAAUUACACAAGAUUGUUUUGCUUCUAUAAAGAUUACUAGUUGUUGAGAGAAUUUUAGCCAUUUUAUAACAUCAUGUGUUUGCCAACUAUUUAGACUAUCAUUUAAGUUCAAUUUUUACCUCUAUUGAACCAGUGUAUCACAAAUUCCUUUGUUCGAAUAUUCAGCGCAUCAUAUGACUUCAAAAACUAAAAGUUGGUGAUUAAAUUUUCCGAACUAGGAUAUUUAGUUAAUAGAAUAUCCCAUUUUCACAGUUCUUCGUACAGUUGAUAUAAUUAAGUCAGAGGUAAAUUGAAAUGACUUCGAACACAAUUAUUGGAGGCAAUCAAUUAUAUACAUAGAACUCCAUAAAAAACAUGACUAGGUCAUCAAAUUUCAUUAGCAACUCCUAUCCUUCCUCCACUUUUUGCUGUAAUGUAAUCAAAACUCCCCUGUUGGUUGUUACCGGUAAGUAACUCAGGUCUGCACAACUUCUACUUGCAUCCUGUGUAGCAAAACGGUUAUUAUUUCAAAUAAUCUAAAAGAAGUUCAUAGUCAUCUAAAUCAUAAUCUUAUGGCUACAUUUCUGUGAAUAUUAGUUGAAACAUGCAUUUUGAAUAUAAAGCUACUAACUUCUAUUAUUUCAGGCAAUGUAACCCGAGGGUGAGUGUGGUAAAAAGGAGAAAAAAGGAGAAAGUAUGUUAAAAUACUAAUAACAGUUUAAUGGUUCUUUCAGACAAUAAAGAGGAAAGGAAACCUUCAGUCACUAUCAAUUUUUUUUAGGGAAAACAGAAUUUAGCUAGGGAAUGGAGGACGGAGACAGACGAAUACAGUUGGAAUAAAGGAAAAAAAAAACUAGAUGAAACAAAAGAGCAUUUGCAACUGGCACAUAUGCAAAGAGAAAAAAAUUCUUUAUUGGGUCGCCGCUCAAUGUGAGAAAGAAAAGGGUGAAAAGGAUCUGAAUACACCUCUCAAGGAAAAUUAGAGAGCUGUUUCUUACUCUCCCACUUUCUCUUCACAAGUUUUUCACCCCUCUACCACUUCUCUAGCCCUCCCUUAUACUCCUUCCCCCUCCUAACUGUUAUACAGUUCAGUCAUAACAGCCUACAACUAUUUCUCCCAACUACUGAACCGACUUCUAGAAGGUGUAAUGGUACAAGUAGGUAGCAUUAUCCCCAAUUUCUCAUCAUAUUCUUCAUAUCAUACAGCCUCUUUUACCAAUGGUCUUGUAUAAAGAAGCUACAUACUAAGGCCUUCUAAUAACAAAUCCCCAGACAAAUGUCAAAACAAGUUCGCAAGCUGAAAACUUGCAUGUUCCUCUCCAACAAAAGGCACAAGAUGAUUGCAUAAAUGAAUAUCAUGAAAUAAUCCUCUCAUUUUCACAAAAUACUUAAUAUAGAAUCGUCAAAAAGGUACUCAAGAAUACUAAAAUGAUUGUUCCAAAGAAAUUAGAAAAGUGAUUAUUUUCCAACGCAGGAAAAAAUGCCUUACUCUUUAGGAGUUCAUUUUGAAUAUUAAGCAAACAUCACAUCAGAAUAGAGGGCCCUGUCGUACUUUAAAUAUGCAGUAACUAAAAGUCAUCAGUGUUACUUCGAUUAACAAGACUGACAAUACCCUAUGAAAGUGUGUGGCAGACAGUAUGUGCAUACGAGAGCAAAAGUGUAAUGAAAUAUCAAGGUGGGUGAGUGGAUGCAUAGAAAAAAGAUGAAUUGUAAAUAAUGCAUCUGAAAGAAAGUUGGAAGAACACCUAUUAAGAAGAGACAAAAACAUUUUCCCCAAAAAAAAUUCUUUUGUAUGUUUGUUUAUCCAUGAAAUUUCCAAUAAAGCUACCUCAUAGCAGAAAACCCAAAGUUUCCAGGACAUACGAUACAAUAUAAAACAAGAAAUAAUGAAAUAUAACCUAGAAAUUCACUAAUUAUAAAUAUCAGUUGUAUCUUGGUAAUUUAACCUUGCUUGGAGGUAAUUUUCCUCCAUUUAUCCUUGAGAUCAACAGGAGUACGAGUCUUAUCAAACACGCAGCAACCAAAUUCUAAAAUUUUCCUCCAAGGUAUAUUCUGAUCUUCUGUUGCAAACUUCAACACUCCUUCCUGCAAUGCAAAAAAUAAAAGUAACUAUUAAUUGAGAAAUGAAGACCUUGAGCAGUUAUAAUAGCUAAGAUGAGUGUAGUUCUUGCCCAGUGGUAUGAGUUUGGGACACCAAAAGAGUAAUACGUAGAUUUAAGAUCUGAUCCAUGCUACUUACAAAUCCCCCUCCCCCUGACAAAUUAACCACCAAGAAUUUUCCUAUAGAAAAUAAAGCUAAGACGAAUACUCUAUACCUUGAUCAAAUGUAAGCAUACCAUAAUUGAUUAUAUCUGCUUUACAACUUUAACGUUCAUAACAAUUUCUGAGAAACUUAAAAUGUUUACCAGGAAGUUUUAAACUAACAACAACAACCAAGCCUUAUCCCACUAAGUGGGGUCGGCUACAAGGACCAAAUUACGCCAUAAUGUUCGAUCAUAAAAGAGAUGGAUCAUGCAUUGUUCUUUCCGUAAUUAAACCAGAAGCCAUCCAAAAUCAAGUCAGAAGUAAAGGAAUUAAAUUAGAGCAUGAUAUCAAUAAGGCAUUGCAAUGAAAACCUUGAGAACUUUUUCUUCUUCAGCUGUCCAAUUCAAUCUCUUACGUUUUCCAGUCAGUAUAUUCUGCUUCGUGCUGCAGUAAAAAACAAUAACUCAUUUACACAACCAACAAUACCUAAAGACAAAUCAACUCUCCAUCAAAAUAUCAGCUCUAUUCUACAAAACACUGACAGAAAAAACGGAUAUCAAAUACAACACUGACACGUAGACACGAGUAAUAAGCUGAUAAAAUAGAACUGAUCGAAUGACGAAUAUAACCACAUUUGGGGUCUGUUUGGUAAGCCACAUAUUCGAGCUUAUAGCUUAUGUCUUAUAAGCUCAUUUGAUUAAAAAAGACACGUUAGGUAACUGUCACUUUCUCACGAGCUUAUAGCUUAUUUUUACUAGCUUAUAGCAAUUUUUAAUAAGCUAAUUCAAGUAGCUUAUAGCUUAUCAUAUUUUUAUCACAAUUUUACCCUUGUAGCCUUAAUUGAAAAAUAAUUAAACAUUAAUUAAAUAUAUCUUAUUUAUGUCAUUUCAUACUUAUAAACUAGUUCAACCACUAAUGCUAUCAAACACUAAAAUUCAAUCAUCUAGCUUAUCUGCUAAGCUAGCUUAUCAGCUAUCCACUAUAAGUUCAUUCACUAUAAGCUAGCUUAUCAAGCUAUUCGCUAUUUUUUUACCAAAUAGAGCCUUAUCACGCCUUCAAUCUAAAGUGUCAGUGCUACAUAAGAUAUAACUACUACUACUACUACUUAAUUGGUGUUUACAUGAGAAAUUAAACUAAAAUUGAACAAAUCAACAAAAACAUGAAUAAUCAAAUUUCACAUUCAUUGAACUUCAGGUUGAUGAAUGACUCACACUCGCUUUCGUAGACUUGAAGUUCUGGAGCUAGUAACUUCCUCCUCGUCUAUGUCAUCACCACCACCACUACCACCACCACCACCACCAUUUUUCCGUUCCCUGAGCAAUGCUUUUUUCACAGGAGCAGCCUUACGUUUAACACUGGCACGAACUUUCUUCUCCGCCACCGAAACCUCAUAAUCAGAAUCUUUAGUUUCACUCACUGAACUACCUGAUACAGAAACCUUUUCUUCAUCGUUUUCCUUAUCAUUAUUACUUUCCUCUUCAGAAUGAGAAACUUUUGGUUCAUCCACUUCCGGUUCAUUCGCUUCCGGUUCAUUCCGGUUUACAUGAUCCUGAACCGUUUCCGGUUCUGGUUCAACAGGUUGCUCUUCCUUAUCCUUAUGCACUGUUUGGUGUUUUUCUAAAAAGCUAGAAAGGGCUUUCUUCGCUAGAACCGCUUUUUCUCUUAACUCUCGAGUUUUCUUCAACGCGCGCUUGUACGCACAAUAAGGACAAAAGAAGUUUCCAGAAUCAUCGAAUUUAGGUUCGGAACCGAUGCAAGUGACGUGGACAGAAACGGGGCAAUCGGUUUGGGAACAUACGAGCAAUUCGCCUCCGAGUUUGUUGCAGGUAAUGCAAAUGUUAUCGUCUAAGGAAUCAACGGGUACGGUUUCGGGAACGGAAUCGGGAAAUGGAGUGUGAGUGUGGUGGUUGUCAUCGCCGUCGCUGUUGCUGUUGUAGACGGUUGCAUUGUGGUCGUCGUUGGUGGUGGAGAGGAGAGGAAUGGGAGAGGCGGUUGAAGGUGUUAUACUACGGCGGUGGCGAAUACCGCUGACGACGGAUUUUUUUCUCAUCGCUCACAAUUCUUGUGCUUUUUCAGAGGGAAAAAGACGAAUGAUUCUAAAACCCAGAAAAACACCCAAAAAUAUUUUAAAAAUAUGAAUUAUUGUUUUUAAUAAAUUUUAAUGAGAAUUGCUAAGGACACACCACUAACACUCUCUUAUAACACACAUAUCAAUGACAAUUAACCACAUCACCCGCUUAUUUUAAUUCCUUGACUGGUAACCGGUACUAGAGGUUGCUAAAUGACAUUUUUUAUUUUAGGGUUAAUAGGUUUUUAUCCCCCUGCCAUUUGGGCGUCUUUUGGUUUACCCCCCUAUGAAAAAAAACUUGGAGAUUCCCCCCUGUAAAAUAAAGAUUCUUUGGUUUACCCCCCUACAGCCAACAGUCAGCAUCUGACUGGAUAAAUUUAAUGAUUUGGCAUGCUGACUAUGUAACGAUGGGUGACGUGGCACUGCCACAUCAUAAUUUUUUAUUUUUAUAAAAAUGGAUUUUAGAUGAAAUACCUAAAAUACCCUUAAUGAUAAAUUAAAAAAAAAAAAAAAAACCAUUUCUUUUUCUCUCUUCUUCUCUGCGUAAAUCCCCUUCUCUUCUCUCCCAUCUUCUGUUUUUGUUCUUCCUUUUCUUCUUCUUGAACUUCUCUUUCAUUAACAACAUCAUCUUUUUGUUCUUCAUUUUCUUCUUAUUGAACUUCUCUUUCAUUAACAACAUCAUCAAAUCUAAAAGGGGGAAGGAAUUUCUGUCAACUUUAAAUUAAACCACAGCCCUCUUUUCAUAAACAACACAACAACACAAAUCUAAUAUUUCAUUAAAAAAAUCCAAACAUAAUAACACAACCGAUCCAUGUCGAAUUUUUGUGCUUUCUUGGUUUUUUCUUCUUCUUUAUUCAUCCCUUUUUAUUUUUUGGUUUGUGAUUUGUAUAACAAAAGGAUUAAGAACCCAUAUUGUAUGUUUGUGUUUGAGAAGAAGUGGAAUGCCUAUGUUUGAGAUUUGGAGAAGAAAAUGGGUUGUUUGUGUGUUGUUGUUGAUUGAAUCCGAUUCAACCCAUUCAAAUCCGAAUUCGGUGGUGGAUUUGGAGAAGAAAAUGAGUUGUUUGGAUUUGUCAAUGACUUUUACGGCGACGGUUGGUAUUUGCCGAGGAUGAUGUGUAACGGCAGUGAUGGUGGCGGUGACGGUGGUGAUUGUUGCCACCGUUUCAUUUUGUUUGGUGAGAGAGGAAAAGAGAGAAAUGGGACUGUGUGUUUGUGGAGGGUGUUUUCUGAUUUUUUUUUCUUCUAGGUUUUGUGAAGUUUUUAGGUUGAAGAUGUUGUGUUGAUGAUGGUGAAGAACAGAAGAAGAGGCUCGAUUUAGGAGAAGAGAAAAAAAUUUUGGAAUUUUUAAUUUAUCACUAGGGGUAUUUUAGGUAUUUCACGUUUUAAACAUACUUUUAAAAAUUAAAAAUUAUGACGUGUCAGUGCCACGUCACCCAUCGUUAAACAGUCAGCAUGCCAAAUCAUCAAAUUUAUCCAGUCAGAUGCUGACUGUUGGCUGUAGGGGGGUAAACCAAAGAAUCUUUAUUUUACAGGGGGGAAUCUCCAAGUUUUUUUUUCAUAGGGGGGUAAACCAAAAGACGCUCAAAUGGCAGGGGGGUAAAAGCCUAUUAACCCUUUAUUUUAUUUUACUGCAACUCAUCGUUUGUCUAUGAAUUAAAAAACAAAGACAAAAGAUCUAAAACUUCUUCCAGCCUGUCCACUGCUCCUUUCCAUCCGAUCUGUCCAUUGCUCAUGCCAUCCUUCUCUGCCGCACAAGAUCUAUAUCUUUCUCGUUUGAUUUGACCCAUCUCGUCUCUUUUUCAUUCCGAUCUUGUCUUCGUUUUCUCAUUUUAUUGAUUUUGUUGGGGUGGAGAUUGCACGAUUCAAAUUUAGUAAAGUUUUAUUUGUUUGAUUGAUAAAAUCUAAAGAAUGCUUUUGCACAUUAUAUUGAAGGCUUAAACUCACUUUUUACCCCCUAAGUUUGCAAAAGUUGCAAUUUUGGCACCCUAUUAGAAAAAAUGGCAAAAGCUACCCCCCAUGUUUUCCCCCUUUUGCAAAACGUCGAUUUUGACCGAGUCAACCAUAUGUGGCAUGCCACAUGUGUAAAUUUUUAAUUAAAAAAUAUUAAAAUUGUCACGUGUGUAUCUUUUGAAUUAAAAAAAAAUAAAAAAUGGAGAGGCACGUGAGUGAGAGAGUCUCUAUGCUCUCUCUUCUUUCUUUUCCUCCCAAUUCUUUCUUCUUCUUCCUUCUUUCCUAAUUGCCGCCUCCCUCUUCCCUUUUUCCGGCCAUCCAACAUGGUGCUUCCAACCAUCCUUUGUCAAACAAAAUACAUAAUAUUUAUUCACCCUUCCUUCUCUAUCUCAUCAUAAAUUUAUUUUUGGAUUGAAGAUAUUUUGAGUUUUCAAACCACCACCUUCAUUGUUAGAUCUAGACCACCACAAAACGUUUUUCGACAAAUUGCCACAAUAAAAGUACUCUCCUUCGUAUUCCCUACAAAACCCACAAAAAAUCAUGUUUGGAUGACAUUUCUCCGACGACCACCGCACCGGAAAACAUCACCACCACGCCGGAAUUUAAAUCUAUUGUUUUCAGUUUGUUUUCCAGAAGCUACACUUCUUAUGACAGUUGCCGAUGAUGAACUGCUACCUUUUUCCAUGGAUUGCUUCUCAGUGUUGAUAAUUUUAAUAAUUUGCAAGUCUUGGUUAGGAAAGAAGGAAGAGGAAGAAAGAAUUGGAAGAUUUUUUUUUUGCAAAAUGCAUUCUUUCCAGCAUUAUGGACAAAAGAAACAACAAUGGUGUUAUGUUCAUUCACUCACGUGCCCUCUCUUCUUAAUUUUAAUUUUUUAUUUCUUUAAUUAUACAUGUGGAAUUUAUGGAUUAAAAAAAAUAAAAAAUAAAAAAUAAAAUAUCCAGGUGGCAUGCCACAUAUGGUUGACUCGGUCAAAAUCGACGUUUUGCAAAAGGGGGAAAACAUGGGGGUAACUUUUGCCAUUUUUUUAAUAGGGGGUAAAAUUUGCAACUUUUGCAAACUUAGGGGGUAAAAAGUGAAUUUAAGCCUAUUUUGAAAGGGUACAACUUAUACAAAAACUUAGGGUCUUUUUGGGAAACCCAAAAAAAGAGCUUUUAGCUUUUAGCUUAUAGCUUAUAAGCUCGUUUGACAAAAAAAGCUCUGUUUGGUAAUACUUUUUCACCAUGAGCUUAUAGCUUAUUUCACGAGCUUAUAAGCUAUUUUUCAGAAGCUAUUCCAAGUAGCGUUUGAGCUUAUAGCUUAUAGCUUCUCACUUUUUCUUCCAAUUUUACCCUUAUUAUUUCAUUUAAAUUGUAUUUUUAUCCAUUAUAAUUUUUAUAAUUAGUUACGUAAUAAAGACUACUAUCCCUUUAUUCCAAUUUUUGUAUAUAUAUCAACUGGCCUUUUUUUUUUUUUGGAAAAAAUAUAUACCUUUGUUUUUUUUUACGAAACAAAAUACUAUUAUUCUAUUAGUGUUACUUUUUUUUUUUUUUUUGAGGUAAGUGUUAUUUUCUUUAUUCUCUGUUAUUAGUAUUACUCUAUUAGUGCUACCUUUUUUUUUUUUUUUUUUUUUGAGGUAAAUGUUAUUUCCUUUAUAAAGUAGAAACACUUAAAUGAUAAUAAAUAUAAGAUAAAAUUUUAGUGAAUAAAAUUUAAUUUAAUUUAUAAUACAUAUGAUAUAUUAAAUUAAUAAAUUUAAAGUAUUUUUUUAAAGAAAAAUUAGUUUACAAAAUUACAAAUACUUAAAUUAAUGAUAUAAUUUUUAUUAUGAAUUAAGAAUACCCUUUAUGUCAUUUUACAUUUAUCAGCUAGUUAAACCGCUAUUUUUACCAAACACUUCAGUUAGCUUAUCAGCUAAAAGCUAUCAGUUAGCUUAUCAGCUAUCCGCUAUUUUUACCAAACAGAGCCUUAGAGAUUGAAAAGUAUGGUUACGUUCCAUUAUUUUUUUCUCUUAUGCAUCUUUUGUUUUGUUUUGCUUUAUGAAAGCAAACCAUUUCUGUGAAGUGACCCAGUUUUGUGGGAAGUUGAGUGCAGUGCAGAAGAUGAACAAUUAAAAUCUUUAAUAAUAAUAAAAAUAAAAUAAAUGGAAACACUCACAAGGGUGAAACUGGUUUGUAGGUAAAACUAAUUAAAAGAGUUGAUGACAUGGUGGAUCGUUAUUGGAUGUGUUAAAAGAGAGUGUUAGUGGAUUUAGGGUUUAGGCAAAUCACAUUAAGUGAAACUUGCCAAACAAGCUAAAGAAUUGACACGGUCCAAUAGAUGUGUAACGAGUUGUCAAAAUAAUAUAUCAAUGAGUAAACAGUCAAUUUUCCUCUUGAAAUCGUAAGUUUCGCCAAUUCCCCUAUGAAAUUAACAAAACUUCAAUUACCCCCCUAAAAUUGCAUAACGUUAAUCAAUUUACCCCCUCCGUCAAAUUUUUCUGUUAGCUGUUUACGGUUAAGAUCAAAUACCCCCUCUGAAAUUUUGCACUUAUGUGCAAAAUGCCCCUUAAACUUGAUUUUUUUUUUUUAUCCUUGACUCAAAAGAUAUUAAAGGCAAACAAUUAACAAUUAUUGAUCAUAUAAAUCUUUAUGGAAUGUAUGUUUAUGCAGCUAUUGGUCAUAUAAAUCUUUAUGGAAGAUAUAUUACUCUCAUGUGUUUUAAAUAUAUAUAUAUAGAAGAUUUUUUUUUACACAAGUUGGUAAUUAUGUUAGAGUAUGCAAUCAUAAAGUAUACAAGUCUUUGAUAAUUGUGUAUCCAUAAAGAAAAUUCAUAGGUUAAUAUCUGCAUAAGGAAGAAGAAACAAGACUUAGGUUUGUGAAUUUGCAACUUAAUUAAUGAUAUAAUUUUUAUAAUGCAGGAAAUGUCAUAUCUAUUAGCUGCAACAUGUUAAAUAGAUUAUGUCAUAGACCUUCUGCAUGAAGCCGGUAUAUCACAUUGUACUACAAAGUUAUGUGAUAGAUAUUAAUUUUCUGCUGCUAUGACAUUCUUGUCUUGGUUUAUUUCAACAACUUGAUAUCUUUUUAAUGUUUGGUUUUUAGUUUUACCUUCUUUGUAAAAAAUUUAUUUUGCUCCUUGUUGAUAAAUAUGAAAUAUAAAUGAAAAGACUACACAUGACAAAACCAUGAUUUCUUUGGCAUAUAUUCAUUCAUUUUCUUGUGAAUAGAAUUUUUAUGACAAUAGGUACAAUAUAUUACUUGAAGAACAAAAUGUAUGAUUUUUGGUAAAAAAAAAUCUAAAAUUUUAAGUUUAGAGGGCAUUUUGCACAUAAGUGCAAAAUUUCAGGGGGGUAUUUGAUCAUAACUGUAAACAGUUAACAGAAAAAUUUGACGGAAGGGUAAAUUGAUUAACGUUAUGCAAUUUCAGAGAGGUAAUUGAAGUUUUGUUAAUUUUAGAGGGAUAAUUGACGAAACUUAUAAUUUCAGGAGGGAGAUUGACUAUUUACUGAUAUAUCAAUAUAUCAUAAAAAGUUGAUUUAUUGAAUAAUUUUUGAAUGUGUAACGGGUAGUUAAUUUGAAAAUGUAAUUUUUACAAAGUAGUCUUGUAUAAUACUUUGGAUUCCAAAAUAAAUUGUCACAUUAGAUAUCAAUCUAAAAUUUAGAUCCGAGCAAAUGUUAUAUUGUUUGCAACGUCUAUCAUAGUUUGCAACAAAACAUAUCCUUUGAUUGUUUUUUUUAAGGGCGGUCAUUUCUAUACGGCUUACCAAUGAAGGAUUAUUUGAUUCGACGUGGAAAUAUACCGUAUAACUAUUAUCUGUUCGGAUGGCUAUGUGAAGGAGGAGAGCGUUGAUCAUGUAUUUGUGGGAUGUGGUUUUUACGGUAGCAUAUGGUCUCUGAUUUGGCAACAGAAGUUUAUGAGGUGAUUCUAGAAAAAUUCAGCUUUUGAAACAUUUGAUUUGGUUGGCUCGUAUAUGUGUUCUCUAAAAAGAAAGGAAUUGUAGCAUUUUUCAGCAAAAUCAGUUGCCCUUACAUCAUCUAUGUGAUAAAGUGAAACUUCUAUUUUGUGGUGGUUGAAAUCCAAACACAAACACUUAACUUUGAUUUUCAUCAGUGAUGGAUAAAUCCCUUCUUCUGAAGUUUGAACCUUGUUACCUUGCUAGAACCAUGUUUUGCUUCCUAGCUAGGUGUUUCAUUGUUUAUUUCUUGUAGUUGUUUGGUUUGUAACAUAACUUCAUAUUUUUUUGAGUCUUAGCUUUGCACUCCUUUUGCAUGUUAGGAUCUCCUCUUCGUUUAAUAUAUUUCAAUUUAACUUCUUAAAAUAAAAAUAUUAGAUAAGAUUAAUUUCUAUAUAUCUUCCAUGAUUCGUUUAUAAGGAAUUUAUUUUAAGUCUCAUAAACUACAAAUAAGUGUUUUCAUAUUGUCACAUCAUACUUAUGCAACUCAUACAUAUUUUGCUCCAAUAGUAAAUAAUUAAUUAAUUUAUUUCUACUUAAUCUUGUUUCAAAUUCAAAUAUUAAUUAAUUUAUUUCCAUAACGUCAUAUCUUAUUAAGAUACUUACAAUUUUUAUGAUACAAAACAUCACCAUUAAACUCAUUAGUUUAUUAGAAAUUAAUAGUUCAAAUCUUUUUCUUUACGGUAAUAAUAAUCCAAAUCUUAAUAGUAUAUAUAGUAUGUAAUGAAAUUGUUAGUUGAUUAGGUGCUUUGUUUUUAUUUAAAAUAAAAAUAAAAAUUGCAUUGUUUAGAAAAUAAGAGAGAACUAGGCUAUGUUUGCGCCAUCAGAGCCACGUCGAUAAUGAGUUUUGAUGAAUUCUUAAUCUCUUCUACGAACUUAGAUCUAAAACAAAAGGCAGAUUCUAUGACCAAAGAACAAGAAAAUAUAAUUUGUUAGUUAAACUUCUCUUAAUAAAACUUGUUUAUUAUCUGCAUCCGUUUGAGUUAACUCCCCUUCUGAAUAUUCAUCCACAUAUAAGUUGGUUUGGACAAUGGAAUUGUGAAAGGUUAGUUUAUACUUUAUGUUUUAAUUUCAUUUUUCUUCUAACUUUCCACUUUCCACAAUUAUUAAAUGUAUAAACUUGUGAAUUGUGAUGAUAUUUUGUCACGUUCUAAUUGUUUUCAUGCAGGUGUUAGUUUUUUUAUCAUUCAUUUGGUAAACAUUUCUACAAAGAAGACGUGAAAUUUUGAAAACAAUAUGAAGAGGGCUAUCUCGGUACGUCGUAACAUUUCCUUAAUUGCUAACUUACAUGCAUUCUAUGUUGAUGUCUAAUUGUAAGUACGGUAUAGAUACACAUUCUCUUUAUUUCUCAAAAGAAAUCGAAGACUCAGUCCCGUGACUAUAAUCGUGUAUAUAAAAACUUAAUGUAUGUCACUAAUUCAAGAUAUGUUUUUAUACACACAAUUAUAUCAAUGCAUUUUUCUACUUUAUUUUUUUUUGUUGGCUUUCGCACCGGUUUCCGACUUUGGUGGACGACUAAUCUGGCUCAUGCGCACUGGCCAAACGUUGUUCCCCUUGGAAAUCUAAUCCGAUAUUCCACGGGUACGUCCUUGGAAGAAGCUCCUUGCCACUGGAGCCCAAGCAACUUGGUUUACUUUCUUUAUAUAGUUAGGAAUAUCAUGUGUUAAGAAAGAUAUGGUUGUGCAGGUGGGAUCUUUAGAGGGAAGAGGUGUGAUAGAACUCGAAAACGCGAGCUUACUUAAUCCUUCUUCAUUUCCUAAAAAAGAUGCAUCAUUUGGAGAAGAAGAUUCACCAAUUGAUCAUGAGUAUAGGAAUUUCUCACAGGAUGUAAUAAAAAUUAAGAUGCUUAGUAGCAUAAAACUUGUAAUCCUUUCAACCAAGAUAAACUUACUCCUGCCUUUUGGUCCCAUGGCAAUUUUGGUAGAUAAAUUGUUUCAUAGUCAUGUAAGUUUCUUUGUUCAUUUGAUUGCUAAAUAUUCAAAUUCAAUUGUAAAUCAUGCUACAUUUGAUUUCUUCAAAUGUGUUUCAGGGUUGGGUCUUUCUUUUUAGCUUAUUAGGCAUUAUACCCUUGGCAGAGCGUUUGGGAUAUACGACUGAGUAAGUAAUUCAAAAUUUCACGCUUAAGAGUUUUAACGUUGCUGCAUUCCUAGAGUUGGAUUCGGACCCAGGAUACUAAACAUUUAUUUUAAUUUUUUUGUUGUUGAUGGAUACUAAGCAUUUAAUUGCACAUAAAACUGUUGCUAACUUUGUUUUUACUAAAAUAUUAAGAGUGGGAAUAAUUUUGUGAUGUAAGUAUUGCAACUAAAAUAAAAACCUUAUUAUAAUCAUCAUUCAUAACACCUUAAUUCUUACCCCUCUUUUGUGAAGAAGAUGAAAAAAUGUGACAUUUAUUCUGUUUUCUCAUUAUUAUUUUGGUAUGCAUGUUGUAAUAAGAUCAAUCAUAUGUGAUGUUUAAUACAACAUGCUCAAAUGGAAUUUCAUAGAAACUUAGUUUAAGAAUUUGAUUAUAAUGGAAAUUUUGGUCUUCCUUUGAUGCAGGCAACUAGCUUUCUUUACUGGACCUGCGGGUAAUCUUAGGUUUCCCUUCAAUUACAUCCUAAUUUGUUUAACUUUGUGCAAAUCUGUUCAUUGAAAUUCUUCUGAAGUAGCACCACUGCUAUAGACAUUUAGGGAUGUUAAUUUGCACCUAUAAACGAGAAUCUCCGAGGAAUUUAAGUGUUUUUGCCAAUACUCGCUAACAUAAUCGUUAGCAGCCUAUUUUAAUUACUUCAUUUCCAAUAUGACUUUGUGUUGCAGUUGGUGGUCUUUUAUACGCCACAUUUGGAAAUGCAACAGAAUUAAUUAUAUCAAUUCACGCCCUCAAAAGUGGAUUGGUUCGUCUUGUUCAACAAUCGCUACUCGGUUCAAUUUUAUCUAACCUAUUGUUAGUGCUUGGAUCUGCAUUAUUUGCUGGUGGAUUAGUAUUUCAUAAGAAGGAACAACUAUUUAACCAUGUAUGGUUUUGUUCAAUUCAAACAAUUUCGCUUUCUCUGAGUUUAUUUUCUUGUAUAUAGCAGAAAAUUGACCUUAACUGAUCAUCAGGCAGAUGCAAACGUGGAUUUCGGAUUAUUAUUGAUGGCGGUAAUGGGACUGUUAUUUCCAGCAAUUCUCCAUGCUACACAAACAGAAUCAGAAUAUGGGACAUCUCAGUUAUCUCUUUCAAGAUUUACUAGUUGCAUUAUGCUUGUGGCAUAUGCUUCCUAUGUAGUGUUUCAAUUGAAGAUUCAGAAGAAUUUAGAACUUUCAGUUCAUGAGGUUAAGCCUUAAUUGUUAGUUAUUAAUGCAAAUAAUGAUAUCCAGGUUACAGCGAGAAUCGUACUAAUAUUAUUUUUGAUCUAUAAUUGUAAUUAAUGAUUUUUAGGACAAGAAUUUCAAUGAAGAUGCUUCAAAUGAUGCAGAAACUCCUGAGAUUUCAAUGUGGGAAUCAAUGAUAUGGAUUUCAAUCUUAACAGGAGGUAUAUCUAUCUUGUCAGAAUACUUGGUUAACACCAUAGAGGUAAAUUAAAAUCUUGUUUAUUUCAUUCCAUUAUAGAGCAUAUAUCUUUUGUUUGAUUUAAUAUUUUUUUUCUUCCUAUUUUCGACUUAAUAAUAGCAUAUUCUUUGUCGUCAAAAAAAUCUUAAUAUUUGUUUACUUUUUCCUUCCUAAUAUUUGUGUUUUUAUGGGAUAAGUUAUUGAAAUAACAUAUAAUAAAAUAUUUUCAGGGGGCAUCAAAACAGUUUCAAAUGCCAGUGUCAUUUCUUAGUGUUAUUCUUCUUCCAGCAGUAGGGAAUGCUGCUGAGCAUGUUGGAUCUGUUAUGUUUGCUAUCAAAGACAAACUUGUAAGUAUUUUGACUACUUACAAGUUUCGUGAUUUUAACAUAUAUGAAAGGUUUUGUUAUAAAUUUAAGGGUAAGUUUUGUAUUAUUUUCCUUUUUUUUAAUGUAAAAAAAAAAAGAAAGAAAGAAAGAAAACAACAUAAAACUUACCAUUAAAAAUGGAUACAUUAAAAUGUCACAUUUAAUUUAUAUGAUGAAAAAAUAAUCUUAAUGAUAAAUGAAUAUGAGAAAAAUUAAGAGUGUGAUUUUCCUCUAUAAUUCACUGGCUCUGUAGGACAUAUCGUUGGGCGUGGCUGUAGGAUCUUCAAUACAAAUAUCAAUGUUUGUGGUAAGAUUUUGUCAACGAAAUUUCUUAUGUUUUUUUGGUUUUUCCAUGGUUUGUUAUAGUGUUUCAUAGUUCCUUAACUGCGGUUUUUACUCUAUUUUGUUAUGAAUCAAGUUUAAUGAAGCAAAACAAAACACAAAUGUGAUUCAGGUUAUAGAACUCUUAGGAAAUGAAAUUGAAUAUAACUGAAUAUUUUGAGAUACAGAUUCUAGCUAACACUCUACUAAUCAUCUUAUUCCAUAUGAAUGGUUAUUACUCCACUCCCUGCAGAUUCCAUUUUGUGUGGUCGUUGGAUGGACGAUUGAAUGUCCUAUGGACUUGAAUUUUAAGCCUUUCGAGACAACUUCACUUUUCAUGUCAGUUAUCAUAGUUGCCUUCAUGUUGCAAGUAAGUCAAUCACUGAACUAAAUUCCUUCUCCGUAAUUUGUUGAGUAUACUACAAAUGAUUUUGUACUAAGUUUUUGUCUUCAGUAAUGUCUUAUAUGAACCACUUAUAUCUUUAUAGACUUGAUCUUUACUGUGUUAGGACUAUUAGUGUUAAUUGUUUAGUUAGUCCUUACUUGGCACGUUACUUGUAAUACAAGUAAGAACAGAGACAAUUAAUCCCUUGUGUAAUUGGCUAUAUAUAUGCCAUGAUAGUAUCAAUAACAAGUGGAUAAUCACAUUUAAACCUUACAACUUGAACUUUGUUUCGAAAUGCAGAAUGGAACUUCAAACUACUUCAAAGGGAUUGUGCUUAUUCUUUGCUAUUUGAUAGUUUCUGCAAGUUUUUUUGAACAUAUUGAUCCUAUGUUAGUUGGUGAGUAAUGAAACCCUUCCUUCAUCUUAAAUAGAAUAUUUGAAUUCAAUUGUAUAUGGUUUUAUAAAGUAUAAGCUCUCAGUGUUUCAUUAAAAGCUCCAAAUUUUAUAUUUUUCAGAAGAUAAUCCCUCGACUGCCGGUCCAUAAGAAUCAGUUGCCUUUAAGGUCUCUCUUGUUUUCUUUUCUCCCAUUUCUGAAACGAAGGAUUGGUUUUGCGACUUCGUGGUAAAAUAUCAAGUUAAAGAAUCUUCAAGACCAUAGGCUAAAGUCGAAAAUAAGAUAUGUAUAUCUAACAGAGGAAAUCACAUCACAAAUUAAGAAGCUCAUGAAUAUUGUUCCAGCUUACUGAUGUUAAACAUUGGUAGAUUUUUCGACUUGUCCCCGCUUAAGGUUUAUUUUGCACCAUUGAGUUGUUGGCUAUCUACAUUUGAUACUCUAUUCUUUUUAUGUACUACUUUCCAAUACUGAAACAAGAUGAUAGGCAACUGUACUUGUAUAAAAUAAAAAUGAUAGGCAAGUGGCAACUGUAGUAACUAGUAACCAAAAUCCAUGUUGUACUCAUGUUCAGUAUUAUAAAUUACAUCUAUCUAUAUAUAUUUACCUUAGUUUUUUUCUCUUAAAAUCAUGUAUAACGUACACAUGUACACGUACCUAUACUCGUAUCUGGCGCAUGCCCGUAUCCAAUACAUGCAAUGUAUGAUAAUUGAUCACGUCAGGUGCAAUCACCGACAACGCCCUCGCAACAAAUUAUGGGUGUCAACAUAAAUUGUAUUAAAUUUUAAAUUUCUCAUUAUUUGAAAAAUUAAAUAAAUGUCAGAAUUGUUGUGGAAUGUGAUGAUACUAAGCAAGGAGACAUGGCUAAAGUAGUUCAUUUGGUGAUUGACAUUUAAGGUGCUGGCUUAGUAGGGUCAUAAUGAGAUUGAUGAAUGAAGGUAAUUCUAAUGAGCAAGGGGAUGUGACCCAAAAAGCUCGGAUUAAAAUAAAACAUUGAACAACAUCGGAAUAUGGUUGAUAUCAAGGUUUCCUAAAGAAGUGGAGUGACCGGAGUUCGAACUCCGGUUCCUGCAUGUAAAAUGCAAUAUCCUAUCAACUGAGUUAAGCUUACAGGGAUAUUUUAAUUUAUUUAUUUUAAUUUUUUUUGUGGUGAUUGGGAUUCGAACCAUGUACAUUACAUGUUAUUAUUAUGCAUUGUCUAUAUAAACUAAGAUAAGACUCACAGAGUCACAAUAAUUUUUUUUUUUUUUUUUAAAGGGGGGUUAUUUACGUUGUCUAUCAAAUAAAUAUUUUACUCUUAAAAAACAUAUGUCACUUUAAAGUAUUUUAUUCAGUUCUAAAAAUAUUAUGACGACAUGUUUUUAAGGCUCAAAUCGUCCAAAAUAAGACACAAAUAUCUGACAUAAUUAAGACAAACUAAAUCUAAAUUUUCUAAAAUAAUACAUUAUUGUAAUACAAAACUUUAUUCAAUUUAUCUAAAACAUUACACUUUUGUUUUUAGGGAAUCUAAAACAAUACACAUAUUAUCCAACAUAUCACCAAUUUUUUUUUUUUUUUUUUUUUUUUUGUACAUAGCACAAAACAUAUUGAACUUGAAACUUUACGUUAAUCAUACAUAUUUAUGCAUAACUUGUUUGUUGUCCUCUUUAAAUAUUACUAAUCUAUCCCUAAAAAAAAUAUUACUAAUCUAAUUUUCCCGACCUGCAUCGAGACUGGAUCCACACGGGAUAUCAAAAAUUUCUAAGUGGUAUAAACUAGGGUUUGGAACUCAGGCGGUAGGCGGUGUUUCACUCCAAUCACCGCCAACUUGUAAACAUGUUGGCCGGAAUGGAGAGGGUUUUUGACUAUUCUUCACCUUUCAUCCGUUAUCUCCCACCGUUGAUGCCCAAUGGAGGCCGGAGGAGAUCAUGGGUGUCGACAACGGCGCAGCAAAUGUCGUCGAUAAUUAACGAAGCUUUGACUUAUUGCCUAUACGGAAUCAUAUAAUAUAAUUUAUUUCCAAACAAAAAUAAAUUUUUUAAGACUUUUUUGGUUCUAUUUAUUUUCUGAAAAACUAUUAUGAAUGUAUGAACAAAAUACUAAAAAAAGAGAGCAUAGAAGAGAAAAAGGACACAACGAUAUAUACUGGUUCCCCUUCUAACCUAAGGAUAGUCUGGUCCCCUCAUACCACAUGAAGGAUUUUCAAUAAAACGUAAUCUUUGUUACAAAGCAAGCCUUACCCUAAGGCCAACAAUCUUUCUAAAAAGUACAAGAUAGCACCCCACUGUCCUUACAACAAGAAUCUUCACAAAACUCUGAUGAAAUUCUCACAAACAAACAAGAUAUCACUACUAUCUUUAACAAGAAUUUCCACCAAUCUUAUAAUCUUUUGCCUCUUUCCCCUAAAAAAAAACUUUUGGCCUCUUUAAUCUCUGUGUUAUGUGUGUUGGAUGAUCAAUUAAAAAAAAAAAAUCAUUAUACAAAUUAAUUGGUCUCUUCGUUCAAUUAUAGUAAUUUUAAUUUUUCAUUUAAAUUAAUUAUCUUCUUAAUUUGUGUGAAAUAGUAAAAUGUCGUAAAAUUUGAAAAGUGGGAGUAUAAUGGAAUUGCAACUGAUAGUUUUUACAAGUGAUUUUGAACAUACUGAUCCUAUGUGAGUUGAUUCUACGUCAGUUGGUGAGUUAUGAAACCUUUCAUUUUAAAUAGACAUGUUAAAUAUUCUUUUUCGUUACAAUAGACAUGUUAAAUUAAGUGUUCUAUUAUUCAUCUGUUUCAAUAAAUAAAUAAAUAAAUAAAGUGUUCCAUGACCAUUGUUCACUCCUUUUUUUUUCUUCCAGAAUAUAAUCUCAACUGUUGAUCCGCAAGAGUCGGUUGACACAGAGAAAUAAAUUAUCUUCUCUUCUUAUAUAUUAAAGUCAAGACAUAAGUAUAUUUUAACCCUAAUUUUAACCUAAACCUAUUGCAUAAAUUUACUAUUUUAACUCUGAUGCUAAAUUUCUUUGUUUAACCUUAUUGAAUUUUCCCCCUUCUCAAUUUCUCGAUACAUCUUCUUAUAUAUUAAAGUUAACUAAACAUAUUUUAAAUCAAUUAUACAAAUUUCUUUCAACAUAAUUUUUGUAUCUUUGUUAGUGAUAUAUAAUAUAUGAAUUUUCAAUGUAAUUGACUCACGAGAAAAAGAGAUGUGUGCAGUGCUUUUGGCAAAAUCUCUUUGUUAUUAAAUUAUAGAUUGCUGCUCAAUGUCACUAAAAAUAUUUUGAAUCAAUUAUACAAUUUCCUUCUAUCUUCUUAUAUAUUAAAGUUAACACAGAAGCAUAUUUUAGCCCUAAUUUUAACCUAAACCUAUUGCAUAAAUUUACUAUUUAAACCCUGAUGCUAAAUUCCUUUGUUUAACCUUAUUGAAUUUUCCCCCUUCUCAAUUUCUCGAUACAUCUUCUUAUAUAUUAAAGUUAACUAAACAUAUUUUGAAUCAAUUAUACAAAUUUCUUUCAACAUAAUUUUUGUAUCUUUGUUAGUGAUAUAUAAUAUAUGAAUUUUCAAUGUAAUUGACUUACCAGAAAAAGAGAUGUGUGCAAUGCUUUUGGCAAAAUCUCUUAUGUUAUUAAAUUAUAGAUUGUUGCUCAAUGUCACUAAAAACAUUUUGAAUCAAUUAUACAAUUUCCUUCUAUAGUUGUAUUUAAAAUUAUGACAUUAAAAUUACAAGUUGGGACUGUAUUAUAAAAUUUUACUUUUGUCUACUACACUUACAAUGUAUAUGACCCGUGCGGCAGCACGGGUGGACGAUCUAAUUUUGAUGAAAGAGAAUUUUUGAUUUUAGGGUUAAAUAUAUUUUUUGUUUCUAUAAAUAUAUCAAUUUUUCGUUUUAAUCCUUCUAAAAUUUUCCUUCAACUUUUAAUCUCCAAACAAUUUUUCAUCUUCACUUUUAACCCCUCCUUUAAAGUAAACUCAGAAUUCAUAUUUUUGAAUAAAAUUUUGUAGAAAAAAUUCAUAAUAUUAUAAGAAUCUCACCCCAAAAAAAUUUAGAAUUUUUUAACAUAUGAAUAUUUAUAUUUUUGAUGGUUAAAAAAUCAUAUUAAAUUUAUGUUUCGUUAAAAAUUCUAAUUUUUGUUGGGAAAGAUUUUUACAAUAUUCUACAUAUUUUUCCACAAUUUCAUUAAAAAGAAAAUACAAAAAUUAACUUAAAAAUAGAGACCAAAAGUAAUGAUUGAAAAUUUUAUAACGAUUAAAAGUUGAAGGAAAAUUUUAGAGGGACUAAAGCCAAAAGAUGGUAUAUUUAUAGAGACCAAAAACAUAUUUAACUCUUUUAAAUAUUGGUAGACUUGUUGACUUGGUCCCACAUAAGGUUCCAUUGAGUUAAAUUUUGACUAUGUACCUUGCAACCUGACUAAACUGUUCUUAUGGUUGGAUAAAAUAAUGCAUAUAUUUAGUGUUAUAGUUAAGGUUUAAUUUAAUUUCCCUCGCAUUGACAGUUUAUGCAAUGCACCCUUAGUCAAGUCAUAAACGUUUGCACCACAACAAAGUGAUUGGUAACUUUUCAUGCAUAUAUGGAAUAAUACGAUUAGGCAACUGAUAAUCAUUGUAUUAAACCAUAUAGGAAAUUUACAAACAUUCUGCUAAUCACCCAUAAGCACUUGCAAACAUCCCCUAAAUCUAUUUAACAUCGUAAAAGAGUUAAUGCAGCAAUUGAUAAAAGAAAACAUUGUCUCAGAUGUCGGAGUAAGUGACAUAACUACUUAAGAACGACAGCUGCAUUCCUCAUACCUAGGUAUCUUUGCACAGACUCGUUUGGAAGCGAUCUGAUCAUCUUGAAAACAUCAGUAUUUGCAUACCGGAGAUUAGUCUUAGGAUCAUAGUAAGGUGCCUGCAAAGUGAACCGAUUGGUUAAUUCUCUAGUGCAAAUGAUUAGUAUGCCAUGGUAUAAUUAUCAUCAUCGUUAACAUUUUCUUAAUUAGUUAAAUAAUUACUUAAACGGACAUACUUCACACCAAGUAAUAUAAUACCCAUAGAAAUUUUUUAGUAGUAUGUUGUUUUAGGCUUUUAGCAUGAAGUUAAUUCAAUGGGUAGAUGAUCAACUGGUUUGAGCCAAGAGAUGAAGAGUUGGAGGUCUUGGGUUCAAAUCUGGACAAAGGAGUGAAUAUUAAUCUAACUACUAACAUUUUCUAUUAAAAAAACGUUAAUUCAAUGGAAAAUGUUAAGGUUAGUCAAGCCUGCAUAACAAGGUGUUUAAAAGGUCAGCAUCACUAUGGCAUCCAAAAAAACCAGUGUGAAGUUCAACAAUUACAAAGAAAUCGAGUUCAAUCAGUGUGACUAAAUAAGAUAUUAUUCAGGUUGUUCACAUUAUCCUAAAUCAAUCUAGUAUUUGUUGCAAAAUUCGUUUUCAGCACUGUCUUUCGAGUAAGGAAAAAGGAAAGUAUAAAGAGGAGAUAAAUAAUGCGGUAUACAAUUACUUCACAAUAUCCCACCCAUUUCCAACUAUAAAUUAUUCUUAAUUUCAGACAUUUAUCAACUAAGAUGCUAGAUCUAAAUCUCAACCAAACUUGUACUUUUAAAUUAGAUCAAGCUGAAAACAUUUCAACUCCAAAACAUUUCCCAUGUCUAAGAAUACCCAAAUUAAACAGGCACUAAUGCAAAAAGAUAAACAUCAGGUUACAGGGAAACAAACUAAUAUCCACUCAAACAAUUUAGCAGUGUUAGUGAUAUGCAAGUGGAAGAUAAAAGCGCCAUGGACAUUAAAAUAAAUGUCAUAGACAUUCAAGCACAUUAUCUCCCGUUGUUCAUUUAAUAUCUUGAGCUGUGUGAGAUGAAAGUGUACAAGGGGGGUGUUGUACUAAAAGUUCUGGGCAUGAAUAUGAGAAAAAUAAACAAGGAUUUUUCUGGCAAAAGGCAAUAACUGUUGAACACCAAAGGAACGGUAGAUUGAGCACUCUACUGCACAUCCUAAGAUGAAAGUAAAAUAUAGUUCUUUGAGAAGACAUAGCAUGCAAAAAAUUUCAACACAAGUAGAAUAUUCUUUUACCACCACAAGUAAUUAGAAGAUAAAAUCACAAAAUUUGAAUAUUAGUACAAAAGCAAGAUGUGUGUGAAUCUUAAGCUUCAAUAUCAAAUGCUAUCAACAGAUUCUUAAAUAAGAUGUUAAAGUAAUACUAGUGACAAGAAAAAGGAUAGAAUACAUUAAGGGUGUGUUUGGAUGGAGGGUUUAGGAGGGGAGGGUUUAGUUUUCAUUUUUAAAUUACGGACACUAUGAAAUGUUUUUUAAAAAGUUAACAUAUUAACAUAAUAACGAUCAUAUAAUACUUCAACCACACUUGAUUUAUUUUAGAAAAAACAUGUUAUAUAGUCCGUAAUUUAAAAAAGAUAAGUAAACCUUCCCCUCCUAAACCCUCAAUCCAAACACACCCUAAUAGAACAUAAUUAGUUUCAUAACUUCUAAAAAAUAAAAAUAUGUGAGAAUAUAAAGAUUUUGCAAACUUCUUCCAGAAAUGAAAAGCAAUUUCUCUUGCAGGGAAACACCAUAACAAAGAUCACUACAUACCUCAUAGCCUGUAAUAUCGCAAAUUCUCUUGCAUGGAUGCAUAGAAGGGGGUGACUCAAUAUUGACAUCUGCAGGACAAUUCAAUAAAAAAAAACAAUUUAGAUUCUUUUCCAUGGAAGACACACAUAUAACCACAACAAAAAUUGGCACAUAGGAGUAUCCGACGUUGAGGUUAAACAUUAAAAUUCUUCCAAUUGUUGCUUUAGUAUUCCAAAUGAAAGAAUAAAUAACAUUAGAGUGAAAAAAAGUGCAAUUAGAGUGAAGAGAACAUAUCCACCAAAAGCGAAAAUAACAACAACAAACAUGCCUUAUCCCACGAAGUGGGGUAGGCUACAUGGAUCAAAUUACACCAUAACGCUCUAUGUCAUGGACCAAAUACGAAAAGGGAAAAUACAAAUAACAAAACUAAGAAAGUAAAAAAGUCUAAGAGCAAUGUAACAC
rnacentral:lncRNA from 1 species